rnacentral:lncRNA from 1 species
UUCUGUAAUGUAAAUACAAUGAAAUUAAUUGUGUAAAAUGAAAUUUCAAUAAAAAAAGGAGUCUUCAUGUCCCGUUAUCGAGGACCUCGUUUAAAAAAAAUACGCCGUUUGGGAGCUUUACCAGGACUCACUAGAAAAACACCUAAAUCCGGAAGUAAUCUUAAAAAAAAAUUCAAUUCUGGGAAAAAGGAGCAAUAUCGUAUUCGUCUUCAAGAAAAACAGAAAUUGCGUUUUCAUUAUGGUCUGACAGAACGACAAUUACUUAGAUAUGUACAUAUCGCUGGAAAAGCAAAAAGGUCAACAGGCCAGGUUUUACUACAAUUACUUGAAAUGCGUUUGGAUAAUAUCCUUUUUCGAUUGGGUAUGGCUUCAACCAUUCCUGGGGCCCGCCAAUUAGUCAACCAUAGACAUAUUUUAGUUAAUGGCCGUAUAGUCAAUAUACCAAGUUUUCGUUGCAAACCCCGAGAUAUUAUUACUACGAAAGAUAACCAAAGAUCAAAAGGUCUGGUUCAAAAUUAUAUUGCUUCAUCGGACCCGGGGAAAUUGCCAAGCCAUUUGACGAUUGACACAUUGGAAUAUAAAGGACUAGUAAAUAAAAUCCUAGAUAGGAAGUGGGUCGGUCUCAAAAUAAAUGAGUUGUUAGUUGUAGAAUAUUACUCUCGUCAGACUUGAACUUAAUGAAAAAAGGAAAGGUUCAUAGAAUUUUCUUCCCCUUCCCCUUUCCCCGAACUAAAUAGCCCUAAGACCAUUACCAUUAAUUCGUAUUUUCCCAUCAACUAGCUAAAAUUGAUUAACCCUAGGAUUAGGAUCCUUUUUGCUUUUUUCCUCUAUGUUUACAUACCACAGUAAUUUGCUAUAGAGAAUUUUUAAUUUCUAUUAAAUAAAAAUAAGAUAAUAUAAGAUAUUAUUACUGGAAUAAAUUGCUAUUUGAUUUGAUACAUUGUGAUCCUUAACGUUGAUGAAUUAAGAAAAACGGAAAGAGAGGGAUUCGAACCCUCGGUAAACAAAAGUCUACAUAGCAGUUCCAAUGCUACGCCUUGAACCGCUCGGCCAUCUUUCCUACAUAACUUAUUAUGGAAAAUAAACUGAGUGAAUAGCGAGUUUUCUUAUUCCUGCAGUACAGGUACAACCGCAACCGCUCGGGGGUUCCCUAGUUCUAUUGGAAAAAUUCCUUUUGAUCUAGGUGGAAGGAUACAGGAUUUUUUACUAGAAAUUGCGCUCGCUAUAAAAUAAAAGUUUUAAUUUAGGUUUUCCCGCAACUAAAGAAAAAGAGAAUGCAAGAAUUCUUCUUAUUGCAUAAUAAAAUAAAGAAACCUUAGAAUUCCGUUUGCAUAAGAUACGCUACACCAUUGAAAUCAAAAAUAGAGUAUGAGACAAUUAAUAACUUUGAAAACACGAAAUAGUUGAUGACAUAAGUUGUUGUUCAGAAAUAGGAAAGUGGAAUGAAAUCCAGUCUUAGUCAAAUAUUGCAUAUCUCUUCGUGUCCAAGCAGAAGGAAAAGGAUACAAUUUGAGCUGAGCGGAAAAUCCAUAUCUCUCUUAUCCAUUUAAAACAUAUGGAUUUAGAGCAUAUGGAUCAAUCUAUUUAUAAUUAUAAGAAUCGAAUGUGUUUGUUUUUAUGUUAUUUUGUGAAGGAAUGAAAACAAUUCUAUAUAGAAUGGCUUGGGAAUUAUGCCUAGAUCCCGUGUAAAUGGAAAUUUCAUUGAUAAGACCUUCUCAAUUAUAGCCAAUAUUUUAUUGCGAAUAAUUCCGACAACCUCAGGAGAAAAAAAGGCAUUUACUUAUUAUAGAGAUGGUGCGAUUUGACUCUUUUUUUUUUGCUUUUUUUUAGACCUACCUAUACCUCAGUCUUAGGAAAAAGAAAAGGGGUUGGCAUAGAGAGAACCAAAUUUGUAAAGCAAGCAAACCCACGCUUCGGGAAGGUGAGGCGAACUAACAAUUCCUUCCGUCGUGUAUCCUCGAUUGAUGCGGCUUCAGAUACUUCAAUUGUAGAUUUGAGUAUUGAGCGAAAGGUUACACCUACAGGAUAUGGUAUGGUAUGGAUUACAGGCCACUCUAUUAGUAUCCGUAGGCAGCAUAGGGGAGAAAAGCACUACACCUAGAAAUAGGAAUCAACAAGAGAAAAACUUUGGUAGAAAUUACCCCUUUCCUGAUCGGUAUCAGGGCUGGGAAGAAUGGUUGGGAUAACAAACAACCAUCAGGUUUGUACUUUGGAUACCCCUAUAACCAUCAAAGAUCGUUGAAGUAGCUAAUUCCUCUAAAUAGGAGGCGUUGAGAACAAAGAAAUUAUUGGAGCUAUCGUUUUCCUCUAGCAUUAAUAGAAUUCAUUGGUGUUAAGAAAAACCUCUUGUGGGAAGGUUGGCUAGAGAUUUCUUGGAAAAAUACCAGCCCCUUUCGGUUCAUAAUGAGACGGGACUAAUUCUAUUUUGAUUCUAUAGAUUAAGAUUAUUUCGCUUAGUACUAUUAUGUACAGAAGGGAGGAGCCGUAUGAGAUGAAAACCUCAUGUACGGUUUUGGAACGGAGAUUUUUUGAAUAGAAUGAACGACCGUAACGGAUGUUGGCUCAAUCCGAAGGAAAUUAUGCGGAAGCUUUGCAAAAUUAUUAUGAAGCUACGCGACUAGAAAUCGAUCCCUAUGAUCGAAGUUAUAUACUCUAUAACAUAGGCCUUAUACACACAAGCAAUGGAGAGCAUACAAAGGCUUUGGAAUAUUAUUUCCGGGCACUAGAACGAAACCCCUUCUUACCGCAAGCUUUUAAUAAUAUGGCCGUGAUCUGUCAUUACGUGCGACUAUCUCCACUAUAGAAAGACAAAAAAAGAGAGGAUCAAAUUUUCUAGUAAAUACUGGAAAAAAGGGCUUUCUACAUAGGGAUCGUAAAAACAACGAUUUUUCCCUAUCAGCUGUAGGAAGGAAGGACACUUCACGAGAAUCAAAAAACGAAGAAAGUAUGGCCUAUACUACUACUCUAUGGAUAAAGUUUCUCAAAUUGAUAGAGAAAGCACCGUAAAGAUCAAUUAGUGAGCGACUGGGUCGAUACAACUAAAAAAAACUGCUUACUUAUCCCAUGAUAUGGGGCAAAAUUUAGGAAUCCGCUUAUGUAAUAGAGCCGAUCCACUAAGGGAUUAAGCAGCGGUGUAGUAUCAGAUCCCAAAGAUAGUAAGUUCUUUUUUCUUUCUUAUGGAAAAAAGUCUUUUUCAAGGAUUCUAUAGAGAUUUCAUAUAUGAAACCGGGAUAGUUACCUUUCAGAAAAUUUGAACGAAGGCUCUAUAUCUAUCUAUGCUUCAUUCUUCUGAAGGUGGGAAAAAAGAUCAAACUAAUUAUUGAGAAAAAUUAGGGUUUGAAACUUAGGUAAUUAAUUUCUUCUGCUUAACACAAGAACAAAUUGGAUCGAUUUUUGAUAAAUCGAAUUCAGUUAAGAUAGGGGAAAUUAAGAUAGCAAUUUCUGAGCCGUAUGAGGUAGGAAACUCUCAAGUACGGUUCUAAGGGAAGGAACUGCCUAUUCCGACCGAGGAGAACAGGCCAUUCUAGAGGGUGAUUCGGAAAUUGCGGAAGCUUGGUUUGAUCAAGCUGCUGAAUAUUGGAAACAAGCUAUAGCGCUUACUCCGGGAAAUUAUAUUGAAGCACAAAACUGGUUGAAGAUUACGAAGCGCUUUGAAUUUGAAUAAGACCAUGCUCCUUUUUUUCCUAAAAUGGAUGGUUUGGUUGUUGAUCCAUUAAUCAAAUAAAUUAGGUCGUAAGAUCGAAUCAAGAAUUUCAUUAUAUCCAUUUCUUAUACCUUCUAUUUUAUAAGAUAUUUCAUAAGAAUAAACCAUAGGGAUAGGGUCUAGAAUAGAAGUAAUAAAGUGAAUAAAAAAAAGGGGGCCAAUCUAAAUAUUGCUAAUAUAUUAGAACCAUCUUAUUAAUAAUUCUAAUGAGUUAUCUUGGAAUUUAGAAUCAAAUAAAAAAUAAAAAACCCUAUAUUAUGCUCAAGGAAAGUAGAUAUAGAUAGGAGCUUAUGCCCUAAAAAAAAAUACACUAGUUUCUUAAAUUUAAAAUAAAAAAGAUUUUUUCUUACGCCGAGAAAUAUUUGUUUUUUCAAGAUAAACAAUGUCCGUUAGGCACCUAACCUUUAUGUCAUAAUAGAUCCGAACACUUGCCUCGGAUUGACUUUAAUAUAUAAUUGCUCCAGUGAAUAACUAAAAAAAAAGAAGGGUGGUAGUAUAGUAAAGAAAAGAACUAAUCACAAUAUCUAUCUUUCAAAAUCUAUCUUUCAAAAUCUAUCUUUCAAAGAUUCACUAAAAAAAAAGACAGUUGGCGGGUCUCUUUGUAUGUCUUGUCCGGAAAGAGGAGGAGUUAAUGAUUAUUCGUUCGCCGGAACCAGAAGUAAAAAUUGUUGUGGAUAGGGAUCCUGUAAAAACAUCUUUUGAGGAAUGGGCGAGACCCGGCCAUUUCUCAAGAACACUAGCUAAGGGCCCUGAUACUACCACUUGGAUCUGGAACCUACAUGCUGAUGCUCACGAUUUCGAUAGUCAUACUGGUGAUUUGGAGGAGAUUUCUAGAAAAGUUUUUAGUGCUCAUUUCGGGCAACUUUCCAUUAUCUUUCUUUGGUUGAGUGGCAUGUACUUUCAUGGUGCCCGUUUUUCCAAUUAUGAAGCAUGGCUAAGUGAUCCUACUCACAUUGGACCCAGUGCUCAGGUAGUUUGGCCUAUAGUAGGGCAAGAAAUAUUGAAUGGUGAUGUAGGUGGGGGUUUCCGAGGAAUCCAAAUAACCUCUGGUUUUUUUCAGCUUUGGCGAGCAUCUGGAAUAACUAGUGAAUUACAACUCUAUUGUACUGCAAUUGGUGCAUUGGUUUUUGCAGCGUUAAUGCUUUUUGCUGGUUGGUUCCAUUAUCACAAAGCCGCUCCCAAAUUGGCCUGGUUCCAAGAUGUAGAAUCCAUGUUGAAUCACCACUUAGCGGGAUUAUUAGGACUUGGGUCUCUUUCUUGGGCGGGACACCAAAUUCAUGUAUCUUUACCAAUUAACCAAUUUCUUGACGCUGGGGUGGAUCCUAAAGAGAUACCACUUCCUCAUGAAUUUAUCUUGAAUCGGGACCUUUUGGCUCAACUUUAUCCUAGUUUUGCCGAAGGAGCAACCCCUUUUUUCACUUUAAAUUGGUCCAAAUACGCAGAAUUUCUGACUUUUCGUGGAGGACUAGAUCCAGUAACCGGUGGUCUCUGGCUGACCGAUAUUGCACACCAUCAUUUAGCUAUUGCUAUUCUUUUCCUAAUCGCAGGUCAUAUGUAUAGGACCAACUGGGGUAUUGGCCAUGGACUUAAAGAUAUUUUGGAGGCUCACAAGGGCCCAUUUACAGGACAAGGCCAUAAGGGUCUUUAUGAAAUCUUAACAACGUCAUGGCAUGCUCAAUUAUCUCUUAACCUAGCUAUGCUAGGCUCUACAACCAUUGUUGUAGCUCAUCAUAUGUAUUCUAUGCCUCCCUAUCCAUACCUAGCUACUGACUAUGGUACACAACUUUCCUUGUUCACACACCACAUGUGGAUUGGCGGAUUUCUAAUAGUCGGUGCUGCUGCACAUGCAGCAAUUUUUAUGGUAAGAGACUAUGAUCCAACUACUCGAUACAACGAUCUAUUAGAUCGCGUCCUUAGACACCGCGAUGCAAUCAUAUCCCACCUUAACUGGGUAUGUAUAUUUCUAGGUUUUCACAGUUUUGGCUUGUACAUUCAUAAUGAUACCAUGAGUGCUUUAGGCCGUCCACAAGAUAUGUUUUCGGAUACCGCCAUACAAUUACAACCUAUCUUUGCUCAAUGGGUACAAAAUAUCCAUGCUACUGCGCCUGGCGUAACAGCUCCUGGUGCAACAACAAGUACUAGCUUAACGUGGGGAGGCGGCGAGUUAGUAGCAGUAGGUGGCAAAGUGGCUUUGUUACCGAUUCCAUUAGGAACCGCAGUAUUUUUAGUCCAUCACAUUCAUGCAUUUACCAUACAUGUGACUGUAUUAAUACUUUUGAAAGGUGUUUUAUUUGCUCGGAGUUCCCGUUUGAUACCCGAUAAAGCAAAUCUAGGUUUUCGCUUUCCUUGCGAUGGGCCUGGCCGAGGGGGAACAUGUCAAGUAUCUGCUUGGGAUCAUGUUUUCUUAGGUUUAUUCUGGAUGUACAAUGCAAUUUCGGUAGUCAUUUUCCAUUUCAGUUGGAAAAUGCAGUCGGAUGUUUGGGGUACCAUAAGUGAUCAAGGGGUGGUAACUCAUAUUACAGGGGGAAACUUUGCACAGAGUUCCAUUACGAUUAAUGGGUGGCUUCGAGAUUUCUUGUGGGCACAGGCAUCGCAAGUCAUUCAGUCUUAUGGUUCUUCAUUAUCUGCAUAUGGUCUUUUUUUCUUAGGUGCUCAUUUUGUCUGGGCCUUCAGUUUAAUGUUUUUAUUCAGCGGCCGUGGUUAUUGGCAAGAACUCAUUGAAUCUAUCGUUUGGGCUCAUAACAAAUUAAAAGUUGCUCCUGCUACUCAGCCUAGAGCCUUGAGCAUUAUACAAGGACGUGCUGUAGGAGUAACCCAUUACCUUCUGGGUGGAAUUGCCACGACAUGGGCAUUCUUCUUAGCGAGAAUUAUUGCAGUAGGAUAGUGGCUAGGAGGAUUUGAAAGGCAUUAUGGAAUUAAGAUUUCCCAGGUUUAGCCAAGGCUUAGCUCAGGACCCCACUACUCGUCGUAUUUGGUUUGGUAUUGCUACCGCACAUGAUUUCGAAAGUCAUGAUGAUAUUACUGAAGAACGUCUUUAUCAGAACAUUUUUGCUUCUCACUUUGGGCAAUUAGCAAUAAUCUUUCUAUGGACGUCCGGAAAUCUGUUUCAUGUAGCUUGGCAAGGAAAUUUUGAAUCAUGGAUACAGGAUCCUUUACACGUAAGACCUAUUGCUCAUGCGAUUUGGGAUCCUCAUUUUGGUCAACCCGCUGUGGAAGCCUUUACUCGAGGAGGUGCUGCUGGUCCAGUGAAUAUUGCUUAUUCUGGGGUUUAUCAGUGGUGGUAUACAAUAGGAUUACGCACCAAUGAAGAUCUUUAUACUGGAGCUCUUUUUCUAUUAUUUCUUUCUACGCUGUCCUUAAUAGCGAGUUGGUUACAUCUACAACCCAAAUGGAAACCAAGCCUUUCGUGGUUCAAAAACGCGGAAUCUCGUCUCAAUCAUCAUUUGUCAGGACUUUUCGGGGUAAGUUCUUUGGCUUGGACAGGACAUUUAGUUCAUGUUGCUAUUCCCGCAUCCAGGGGGGAGUACGUUCGAUGGAAUAAUUUCUUAGAUGUAUUACCCUAUCCCCAGGGGUUGGGACCCCUUUUGACGGGUCAGUGGAAUCUUUAUGCCCAAAACCCUGAUUCGAGUAAUCAUUUAUUUGGUACCGCUCAAGGAGCGGGAACUGCCAUUCUAACUCUUCUUGGGGGAUUCCAUCCACAAACACAAAGUUUGUGGCUGACUGAUAUGGCUCACCAUCAUUUAGCUAUUGCAUUUAUUUUUCUCAUUGCCGGUCACAUGUAUCGAACUAACUUCGGAAUUGGGCACAGUAUUAAAGAUCUUUUAGAAGCGCAUACUCCUCCGGGGGGUCGAUUAGGGCGUGGGCAUAAGGGCCUUUAUGACACAAUCAACAAUUCGAUUCAUUUUCAGUUAGGUCUUGCUCUAGCUUCUUUAGGGGUUAUUACUUCCUUAGUAGCUCAACAUAUGUACUCUUUACCUCCUUAUGCAUUCAUAGCACAAGACUUUACUACUCAAGCUGCUUUAUAUACUCAUCACCAAUAUAUUGCGGGGUUCAUCAUGACAGGGGCUUUUGCUCAUGGAGCUAUUUUUUUCAUUAGGGAUUACAAUCCGGAACAGAAUGAGGAUAAUGUAUUGGCAAGAAUGUUAGACCAUAAAGAAGCUAUCAUAUCUCAUUUAAGUUGGGCUAGCCUCUUUCUAGGAUUCCAUACCUUGGGCCUUUAUGUUCAUAACGACGUCAUGCUUGCUUUUGGUACUCCAGAAAAGCAAAUCUUGAUCGAACCUAUAUUUGCCCAAUGGAUACAAUCUGCUCAUGGCAAGACGACAUAUGGGUUCGAUAUACUCUUAUCUUCAACGAAUGGCCCCGCUUUCAAUGCGGGUCGAAGCCUAUGGUUGCCCGGAUGGUUGAAUGCUGUUAAUGAGAAUAGUAAUUCGCUUUUCUUAACAAUAGGACCUGGGGAUUUCUUGGUUCAUCAUGCUAUUGCUCUAGGUUUGCAUACAACUACAUUGAUUUUAGUAAAGGGCGCUUUAGACGCACGCGGUUCCAAAUUAAUGCCGGAUAAAAAGGAUUUUGGGUAUAGUUUUCCUUGUGACGGCCCAGGGCGCGGCGGUACUUGUGAUAUUUCUGCUUGGGACGCAUUUUAUUUGGCAGUUUUCUGGAUGUUAAAUACCAUUGGGUGGGUUACUUUUUAUUGGCAUUGGAAACAUAUCACAUUAUGGCAGGGCAACGUUUCACAAUUUAAUGAAUCCUCCACUUAUUUGAUGGGAUGGUUAAGAGAUUACCUAUGGUUAAACUCUUCACAACUUAUCAAUGGAUAUAAUCCUUUUGGGAUGAAUAGUUUAUCGGUAUGGGCUUGGAUGUUCUUAUUUGGACAUCUUGUUUGGGCUACUGGAUUUAUGUUCUUAAUUUCUUGGCGGGGGUAUUGGCAGGAAUUAAUUGAGACUUUAGCAUGGGCUCAUGAACGCACACCUUUAGCUAAUUUAAUUCGCUGGAGAGAUAAGCCUGUGGCUCUUUCCAUUGUGCAAGCAAGAUUGGUUGGAUUAGCUCACUUUUCCGUGGGUUAUAUAUUCACUUAUGCAGCUUUCUUGAUUGCCUCAACAUCAGGCAAGUUUGGUUAAUUUAGUUUGUUUUUUUGUACUGUAUCAGCACCUAGUUCAUUACUCUUGAUAGAGAGGGAGGAUCCGCCUUCUUAAAUUUCUUUUUCUAUUUAUUUUUCCAUCUAGGAUUAGAACCGUAUACUUGAUAAUAAUAGCAACGGCACAUUAUGGCAAAAAAGAGUUUGAUUCAGAGGGAGAAGAAGCGGCAGAAAUUAGAACAGAAAUAUCAUUUGAUUCGUCAAUCUUUAAAAAAAAAGAUAAGAAGCAAAGUUUCUCCCUUGAGUUUGAGUGAAAAAACGAAAAUGCGAGAAAAAUUGCAAUCCCUACCGCGUAAUAGUGCACCUACACGCCUUCAUCGACGUUGUUUUUUGACCGGAAGACCUAGAGCUAACUAUCGACAUUUUGGGCUAUCCGGACACGUACUUCGAGAAAUGGUUUAUGAAUGUUUAUUACCGGGUGCAACAAGAUCCAGUUGGUAAGGAUAAAAUACCCUUUCGUAUUUGUAUGGAUUUCUGGAAUUGAUAAUCAUAGAGGAGCCCUCUUUACCAUUCUGUAUAAAUGGACUAUUCUAUUUGUAUAGAUAUGGUAGAGGGACGUAUCGAACCCUCUUUUAUCCACUAGUUACCCCUCUUUAGUUUAAGAGUAUAGAGCAGUUUGGUAGCUCAUAAGUCUCAUAACCUUGGGGUUGCGGGUUCGAUUCCCACUACCGGCCCCAUACUCCUUCUUUAAUGAUAUAUGCAUGAUAUAUACAUCAUCCAUUUGUAUCUGGAUUUUUUGAUUUCCUAAAAGAGUUUUGGUCUAACAGUUUUUUCUCGGAAGAAGACAACAAAUAAAAGAAAGAAUAAAAGAAAGAAUAAAAUACGAAAGAAAAGCGUCCAUUGUCUAAUGGAUAGGACAGAGGUCUUCUAAACCUUUGGUAUAGGUUCAAAUCCUAUUGGACGCAAUCUUAUUUCUAUCUAUUCUUUAAAUAACUAUACUAAACUAAAAACAAAGAAAACUUUUUUGCAUGAUUCAAAUAACAAGAGUAGACAUGCAAAAUAACAAGAGUAGAUAUGCCAAAUUUAUUUGUUACUGAAGGGAAAACCGUUCCAGCUGUUCCUGAAUAGCUUCCUUCAAAAGGAUUUCCGCUUGCUCGGUGAAUGUCUUGCUAGAAGAUAUAAUUUCUUGGAAUUGAGGUUUAGUAUCUUUUAGGUGUUUACGUAACUCAUCCAGAAAUUUAUUUACCUGUUCGAUUUCUAACGAAUCAAGAUAUCCUCUUGUUCCGGUAUAAAUAGUAGCUAUCUGCUCUUCCACUGGGAGAGGAUUUGCCUGGGAUUGUUUAAGCAAUUCCCUUAAUCGUCGACCCCUUGCCAAUUGAUUCUGACUUGUUUUAUCGAGAGCAGAGGCGAAUUGUGCAAAGGCUUGUAACUCUGCGAAUUGAGCUAGUUCCAAUUUUGAUUUGCCAGCUACUUGUUUCAUGGCUUUAAUUUGAGCCGCGGAUCCUACUCUGGAAACAGAAAUACCCACAUUAAUAGCGGGUCGAAUUCCGGCAUUGAAUAGAUCCGCCGAUAAGAAUAUUUGUCCAUCUGUAAUGGAGAUUACAUUAGUAGGAAUAUAGGCGGAAACGUCUCCAGAUUGAGUCUCAACUAUUGGUAAAGCGGUCAUACUUCCUUCGCCUAAAAGAGAAUUUAAUUUAGCGGCUCUUUCUAAAAGGCGUGAAUGCAAAUAAAAAACAUCCCCUGGAUAAGCCUCACGGCCGGGAGGUCUUCUUAAUAGAAGGGACAUUUGGCGAUAAGCUUGUGCCUGUUUGGAGAGAUCAUCAUAAAUUAUUAAAGUAUGCCGUUCGCGGUACAUAAAAUACUCAGCCAGGGCUGCUCCCGUAUAAGGAGCGAGGUAUUGUAAUGUAGCAGGUGAAUCCGCCAUUUCAGCUACUACAAUAGUGUAUUCCAUGGCCCCCUCCUCAUGGAAAGUAGUUACUACUUGAGCUACGGAGGAUGCUCUUUGACCGAUAGCUACAUAAACACAUAUUACACCUUGCCCUUUUUGAUUGAGAAUUGUAUCUGUAGCUACUGCUGUUUUGCCAGUCUGUCUGUCCCCAAUAAUUAACUCUCGCUGACCGCGCCCUAUAGGAAUCAUCGAAUCGAUAGCAAUAAGCCCUGUUUGAAGAGGUUCGUAUACGGAACGCCUGGAAAUUAUACUUGGAGCAGGAGAUUCAAUUAAGCGAGAUUCGGAAGCUAUAAUUUCGCCUUUCCCAUCAAUAGGUUUAGCCAGAGCAUUUACAACACGACCCAAGUAAGCCUCACUCACGGGUAUCUGAGCAAUUCUUCCUGUUGCUUUUACAAAACUGCCCUCUUGUAUCAUCAACCCAUCGCCCAUUAAUACAAUCCCAACAUUUUUGGAUUCCAAAUUCAGAGCAAUACCCCUAGUACCUUCUGCAAAUUGGACUAAUUCACCCGACAUUAUUUCACCAAGACCUAUAAUACGAGCAAUCCCAUCCCCCACUUGAACUACGCGACCUAUAUUCUCAAUCCCUACUUUCCUAUUAUAUUGUUCAAUACGUUCGCGGAGAAUUUUAUGAAUUUCGUCGACUCGAAGGGUUGCCAUUAGUGUUUCUUGACUCUUUUUUCGAAAGCAAGGGGAAAAAUAAUGCCUAAAUUCUAAACGAAAGUAGAAGUUCAAGGCCUAAUUAAUUUAAUUAUCUCUUCCAUUCCAGGGACCCGAGAAUGCCAAUAUUAGCACGAAUCGUACGGAAAUGUAACUCGGUAUUCAAACAACUAUUCAGAGUUCCUAGAGCUCCUUGUACGGCCUGUUGGAAAACCCGCUGUCGGACCUGAUUCAUUGCCCUUUGUUUUUCAAAAUAAAGGGUUUCGUUUUUAGACUUUUCUAAUUGUUCCAAACUAAUAGAAGUAGCAUUAAUCAAAUUUGCUUUUUCUCGUUCUAUCUCAGAGUAUCCAUUCAUUCGAUACUCAUCCGCUUCUAGUUCGACUUUCUGUAAUCGAAUCCGAGCUUUUUCGAGUUGCUCAAUGGUCCCUCUACGCAAUUCUUCUGAAUUUCGAAUAGUACUCAAGAUCCUCUGUUUUCGAUUAUCUAAUAAAUCUUUUAAUGAAAGUAGAUUAUUUUGUAAGUUUACAACUUUUAUGAUCUCUUCCCGAACCAAACAUGAAUCUUUCGAUUCAUUUGGCUCUCACGCUCCUUUUUUUCUUUUUUUGCUAUAGCAAUUUCCAUAUCUUUUUUUAAGUAUAAGUAAUGAGCCUAUCCUCUAUCUUAUUUUUUAUGUUUAUAUUUCAAUAUACCGAAACCUAUAUAAGACUAGAUAAAUAUUAAGAGGACUCUUCCGCCUAGAUAAAAAUAUAUCAUGGUCAGCAAAGUUGUUUCUUUAUUUAUAUUUGCCCUUUAGUUAAUAAUUUCAAUUUCAUUAAGAAAAACUAACUAAAUAAAUGGAAAAUGAAAAUUAAUAGAAUUCUUUUUUUUUUUCUUCAAAUCCAAAAAAUUUCUCUUUUUUAUACAUAGGUCGUCGAUUCGGCAUUGGUUAAAAAAGGGCAGGGUGCCCCUUCUUUUUUUUCUAGUAAAUAGUUCAAACCAUUUUAUCGAUAUGAGUGUUCUAUAUCAGAUAAAUUUUACAUUAGCUAUUUCCCGUUUAAAUUCGGUACUAAUACUAAUAUAGUUGUAGAAAGAGUACCUCUUUUUGCCUGGACUUCAAGCAGUUUAGCUUUAACCGUGUUAAUGGUCUCACAUUCUUGGUUUAUAGAGAAUCAAAAUUGAUUUACCAAUGAGUCGCGAAAUGCUAUGGUUCUUCCAUAUGAUUUCUGAAUUUAUUCAGAAGUAAUUCGUCGAGAUCGUGCACCCUUUUCUUAUUUAUCCGAAAAAUACUAAAAAAUAUUCUAAAGUGCAGCCGGAUAGAUCCAAUCUAUUCUUGAAAUAGACAACUCGCACACACUCCCUUUCCAAAAAAAAUCAAAACACCAACCACUACAGUUAGAUUUAUUAGAUUUGUUGCUAAAAUAUCGGUAUUAAGCCCGAAACUGCCAGCGGAUGGCCAGUGAGCUAAAAAAACGAAAGAAUGGGUUACAUUUUUCAUAUGCUCUCCUCUUAUAGAUAGGACGAACAAAGAACAAAGUUUUUCGAUCACUUACUUCGCUCGCCCUUUUUUGAUCGGUUUUUUUAAUGCAAAUAGAUUCAAUCUAGUAAUUUCUUUUAGAUUAAGUCUUAGGUCUUGUUUGACCGGUGAAAGGCUUCCUUUGUUGAAAUGUUCCGUUCCCAAAAUUCCUAAAAUAAAAGGAAAAAACUUUCCACUUUCCUAAACUAAGGACGGGAAAUAAGAAGGCGAGCAUAUCUUCUAAAUUAAUCAUACUCAACUCAGCCCUUCCUAGAAUGCGGUAUUAUCUGUCCCGAUAAAUAGAUAAUUCCAGGAGUAAUAAAUAGGAGUAAAUUAAAUAAAGUAUUGAUAUAAUUGGAAUUGCGGAAGCAAAUACCAAUUUACUAAAAAAAGAAAAAAGUAUCUAAUCGAAAUCGAAAGAACUUUUUUUUUAGGAUUAAACAAAAGGGUUCGCAAAUAAAAGCGCUAGUGCCACAACUAGUCCAUAAAUUGUUAAAGCUUCCAUAAAAGCUAGACUAAGCAAUAAAGUACCUCGUAUUUUACCUUCUGCUUCUGGCUGUCUCGCAAUACCUUCUACAGCUUGUCCUGCAGCAGUACCUUGACCAACUCCAGGUCCAAUAGAAGCAAGCCCUACGGCCAAUCCAGCAGCAAUAACAGAAGCAGCAGCAAUUAGUGGAUUCAUGGUGAGUAGUUCCUCGUGUCAAAAAAAAGAAAUGGUUAAGGAUACAAUCAACCAAAAAAUUCUUACUUCUAAGCUCUAUUGGGGAGAAGUAAAGUAACUAAAAAGUACAAAUUGAAAUCAAAUUGAAAUGUGAAUUGUCCGAACUACAUAGAAGGGAAUUCUAUAUCCAUAUAUCGGAUUAGAUAAUGAAUCUAACCUAGGAAUAUAUAAUAUAAUAUCAAUAUCCUAUAUACAUUUGUUUCUUCUAUUUUGUUUGCAUAUUUUCUCAUUUUCUAUUGAAUCGGAUUCUAAAAUCAUUGCUUAAAGUGGAAACCCGCAUAAAAGAGGACUCCACUUAUAGAUAUUAAGGAUAUUUAUUAUAGUAUAGAUCUAGCCUGACUCCACCCUCCUUAAUGCAUAUAUACUUUGAAAAUUCCAUAAUAUAGUCUAUUCUAUUCUCUCUCCUACAACUCUAGGCUAUAUAUUCAUACGCAUUUCUAACUAUUGCAACCAAGCAGAUUAUCUGGAACCAUGCAUGAAUUGAGCUAAGCUGAAAAAAAAAAUACUAUAUUCCAAAACUAGUCAAUUCAAUGAUGACCCUCCAUGGAUUCACCUAUAUAGGCUGCGGCUAAUGUUGCAAAAAUAAGAGCUUGAAUACCGCUUGUAAAUAAUCCAAGAAACAUGACCGGUAUAGGGAUUACUAAGGGGACUAAAGAAACAAGAACAACAACGACUAAUUCAUCCGCCAAUAUAUUCCCGAAAAGUCGAAAGCUAAGCGAUAAUGGUUUUGUGAAAUCUUCUAGGAUGUUAAUUGGUAAAAGGAUUGGGGUUGGUUUAAUAUAUUUCUCGAAAUAGCUCAAUCCUUUUUUGCUAAGACCAGCAUAAAAAUAUGCCGCUGACGUGAGUAAAGCUAAAGCAACAGUAGUAUUUAUAUCAUUCGUGGGCGCUGCUAAUUCCCCAUGGGGUAACUCUAUAAUUUUCCAAGGUAAAAGAGCACCCGACCAAUUUGAAACAAAAAUAAAAAGGAACAUAGUUCCAAUAAAGGGAACCCAGGGACCAUAUUCUUCUCCAAUCUGAGUUUUGCUCAAGUCUCGAAUAAACUCAAGGACAUAUUCAAAAAAAUUCUGCCCGUCGGUCGGGAUGGUUUGUGGAUUCCGAACAGCUAUGACAACUGAACCUAGCAAGAUAGUAAUUACGACCCAAGAAGUGAUGAGUACCUGGGCAUGAAUUUGAAAACCUCCUAUUUGCCAAUAGAAGUGUUGGCCUACUUCUACACCCGAUAUAUCGUAUAACCCCUUGAGUGUUUUAAUGGAACAAGGUAUAAUAUUCAUAUUGUCCUCUGAUAAAAAUUGAACUUCAAAAAAGGAAUUCUUUUGAUUCAACCAUCUCUUUCUCAACUCAGCAACUUGAACUAUUAAUUUGAUAUUUAGGAUACCAAGAAAGCACAUCAGAUCAUAAUAUAUAUCAAUACCCUCUAAUAUAUAUCAAUAUUCCCCUUCUUUUUUCUAUGCAAAACAAAUUCUAUGCAAAAAAAGAUAUAGUAAGUCAUUCCAUAAAUCUACGCAGUUGUCCAAGAAUUCACUAUAUAUUCUUAAUCAACGAUUUCUUAUAUAGAGAGAACGGCCCUCACAAAUUGAAAAUACUAAUUUGUUAAGAAUCAAUCGAAUUGAAGUCAUAGUGUCAUCGUUGGCUGGAAUCGAUAUAUUCGCGAGAUCCGGGUCACAAUUUGUAUCGACUAAAGAAAUAGUAGGAAUUCCCAAAAUGGCACAUUCCCGAAGAGCUAUAUACUCUUUUUGCUGAUCAAGGACGAUCACAAUGUCUGGCAAUCUCGUCAUAUAUUUGAUCCCGCCGAGAUACCUUUGUAAGGUAGAUAAUUUUCUCUUCAAGAUUGCCACAUCUCUUUUUGGGAGAUGGUGGAAUUUUCCCAUUUUUUCUUCCGCUCUUAAGUCUCUAAAUUGAGAAAGUCUAGUUUUCGUAAUCGACCAAUUCGUUAACAUACCACUGAACCACUUUUUAUUAACAUAAUGACAACGAGCCCUUAUUGCAGCUGAUGCUACUAAAUCUGUUGCUCUUUUUUUGGUACCAACAAUUAAGAAACUUUUUCCCUGACUUGCUGCAUCAAAAACUAAAUCACAAGCUUCUGAUAAAAAACGGGCCGUUCUAGCGAGAUUUAUAAUAUGAGUACCUUUACGCUUUGCCGAAAUGUAAGGGGCCAUUUUAGGAUUCCAUUUCUUAAUACCAUGACCAAAAUGAACUCCUGCUUCUAUCAUCUCUUUCAAAUUAAUGUUCCAAUAUCUUCUUGUCAUUUUUUCCACACUUCCUUUUUUUUUCAUCCUAACAUUCCAUUACGGAAUUUAUUUCUUUUUGAAGAUUAAGAAAGAUCCGAAAUAGCUUGAAAUAAAUAAAAUAAUAAUUGUUCUGAGAGAACCUUGUACUAAGAGUUGGCCAUUGAUACAUUGAUACAUGGUAUAAACAAAACCUUAAUUUAAUGAAUUAACUGACUUGUUUUACUUAUUAAAAUAAAAAUCUUAAAAAUCUAAAAUUUAACCUGUUAGUGUUCUAAGUUCAAAAGUCUAGUAAAGUAAAAAAUAUGUUUUAUGUAUCCUUAGGGUUAAAUGUUAAAUGGGGGUUUUUAUGUCUCAUAAAAAUUGUUUGUUACGUCAGAAUCUGAAGAAACUAAUUCUGUAUGGAGAAACAAAAAAUCUCUCAUUUCCGACGCGAAUAGAUUUUUUUUUUUAUUUCGAAAUAAAGGUUCUUGUCUUGUGGGGAACGAUGCACAAAUUUUUGGAAUCCGGUACCAACAGGUAUAAUCCCCCCCAGAACUACGUUUUCUUUCAAGCCUUUCAACCAAUCAAUGCGACCUCGUAGGGCAGCUUUUGCUAAAACUCGAGCAGUUUCUUGAAAACUUGCUUCAGAUAUGAAACUUUGGGUAUUCAGGGAAGCCCUUGUUAUUCCCAAUAAGAUUGCCCGAUAAUAGAUCGAUUCAUCCAAAGCUCGCCCUGCUCGUUCCGCUCGCAAUAGUCCGAUUAAUUCCCCAGGCGAAAAAACAUUAGACAUUCCAUCUUCGGAAACCCGCACUUUUGAUGUUACUUGGCGUAUAAUAAUCUCUAUAUGUCUAUUAUGGAUCUGUACCCCUUGGGAUCGAUAAACCUUUUGGAUUUUAUUAACCAAAGAAAUACGACUUUGGGCUAUGGUUAGCUCAGCUCCAAUCAAGAAUCCCCAAGGGACCCCAAGAAUUCUUGGUAUACGCUCAUUCCAAUCCUCAAUUCUCCUUUCGAGAUUGGGGGAUAAUGAAUCAAUUGAACGCGCUUCAAAGAUUUGUUCCACUUUUGGAAGACCUUGCGUUAUGUCACUAGAUCUCGAUUUUUCAUAUAUAAACGUAACUAACCUAUCUCCCUUGUAAAGGAUUUCUCCAUAAUGACCAUUAACAGUUGCUCCUGUAGUGGCCAAAUAAGGUUUAGCUGCUCUUAUAACAAAGGAAUCCAUAUUUACACUGAAAAUUUGACCAGAUUUUUUUAUGUGCGAUUUAAAUAGACAUACAUUUUCACAAAUAAAUUGUCCAAGGUGAAUUAUUGCCAAUGUCUCUUCCCAAGAAUCAUGAUGGACAAAGUGACAAUUCAAAAGGAAUGGAUCCAACAUUAUGUUACUAUCGAAAUUGGAAAUCCUUUUAUUUUCAUCUAUUAAAGAGUAUUUAAGUUCUUGAAGUACUUGGAAGGUUUGUUUCAAAUUGUCAACGAACAAAUAUUUUUUUAGCAGGAUUUUAUUAUGCGUUAGUAAAUAGUAAGAUGAAGAAAAAUGCGAUAUACUAGCUACAAUAGCCCCUAAGGGCCCAAAAAUUUCUAGAAUAGGAAUUCUAGGAUUCCAUUCUUUUAUCGCAUUGGGAUGUUUUGAAUUCUUGAAUAAACCAAUUCGAGAACAGUUGGAUGCCGACAAAAUCAUCAAAGAUUGGUAUUCUUUAUUUCGAUUCAACAAAGUGCCAAUAGCUUCUUGAUGUUGGCUAAGUGAUUCAAUCUUCGCCUUGGAAUAAAAAGAAUUGCUAUUGGCGCGAUCUAACCUAUUAUGGGGAGUCGGUCCUCCACUUGUCCUAUCAUACCUUUUUCGUGUAUACGAAAUAGUGGACUUGACUAACUCAAUUCUUAGGAAAUCGCGAAUAAGAUCAUUUGCUCUUACCUCAACAAGGGAAGCACCAGCCUUUUCUUUUUCUUCUUGUUCCCAAUUCACUACUAAGCAAGUUCUAACAAAUUGACUAUUUGUGUGAUAAAUUCUUUGAGUUAACUUGCUAUUUUCAUGAUAAAUAAAAUUGACAAGUCGAAUUUGGAGAUUAUUUUCUUCUUGCAAGAGAUCCUGCGGGAAAAGUGUUGCUAAAUUUCUUCCUUCGUCCAUUUCAUAUGCCACUGUAGGGCGAACGGAAACAAAAUACUUUUCCUUGCUCUUGAGAAUUUUUUUCCGUUGAACAUAGACCCAAUUUUUCUUUUUUUUUGAUUCCUUAGAAUCUUUUUUUUGUCUUUCUGGCGGUAUCAAACACCCACCUAAUAUCUUAUCUGCCUCUUCAGGAAAAUGAAUAUCUCCGGAAAAUAUUUUGAGUUCCGUAUGGCUUUUUUUUCUCUUCACUCGGACCAGUCCGCCUAGUCCACUUCUUGUAUUUUUUGUGAGUUGUGUAUCCACUCCAAUAAUACUAUUGUCAAGUAUCUUUAGGGAUGAAGAUCUCGGCAAGAUAUGAAGUUCUUGAAGAAUGAAAAAAAACCGAUCUACUUCUUUUUGGUAUUUUAGACUAAAUUCUUUUGUUCCUCGAUGCUCAAUCAAACCCUCUUUUUUUAAGAUGGAAUCUUCCUCUGGGCUCUCGUAUUCGUCCUCUGAGUCUUCUUCUGAGUCUUCCUCUAAAGUACCAUAUUUUUCCUCGCCGCUUUCCCCGGGGCUGCCAUAUUCGUCUUCUGAGUCUUCUUCUAAAGUUCCAUAUUCGUCCUCUUGGGUCCUAUAUUUGCUCUCUGGGUUCCCAUAUUCCUCUUCUGAGUCUUUCUCUAAAGUCCUAUAUUCGUUCUCUGGGUUCCCAUAUUUGUUUUCUGGGCUCCCAUAUUCGUUUUCUAGGGUUUCAUAUUCGUAUUCGUCUUCUAGGAUUCCAUAUUUAGAUUCUUCUAGGGUUUCAUAUUCGUCCUCUCGGGUCCUGUAUUCGUGUUCUAGGGUCUCAUAUUCCUCUUCUGAGUCUUCCGCUCGAGUCCUAUAUUCUUCUUCUAGGGUCCUAUAUCUAAAUUUAACAAUUCCUGAACCCUUUUUAUCUUUUCUGUAUCGGGGAUCGUCAAAAUAAGCAAAAAUAGUAUUUCUACGUAAAACACCCAUAAAGGGGAUUUCAAUCGAAAUCCCAAAACAGGAUAUUAGUUCUUUCUCUUGUUCUUGAUGAUAUUGUAAUGGAAUGACGAACCUAUUUCUUCGCUUUUUCGCCAACAAAUCUGAAUUAUCUUGAAAAAUAGAAGGAUAGAUCAAAUUCCAAUGGCCAUUGGACAUGAUUCGAUCCGACGUUGAAUAAUCAAGAAUUUCCCUAUCUUUUUUACCAUAAGUAUUCAUUUGAUCUUGAUCCUUGUGGAGUGAAAAAGACGCUAUACUGGAUCUGCACAUACUUACGGAUAAUAUCCAUAAAUGGCUUGUUUUUGGUAAUCGACGAAGAUUACCAUAUUGAUAUUCGGGCGCAUGGUAAACAUCAGUACUCCAGUGCAUUUCGCCGUCUGAUUCAGAAUAAAUAUGCUUUUGUACCCUUUCUUUAAAAUGUAAAGUGGACGUUCCGGCACGAAUCUCCGCAAUUACUUGUUCAGAUUUUACAUAUUGAUCAUUUUGCACUAGAAUCAAGCUUUUUGAGGGAAUAUUCACACUAUAUAGAAUAUCUUGACUCUGAAUAGUUACAUGCAAGUCUAUAUAACAUAGAAAAGCAGGCUGUCCAUGACGGGUACGUGUGGGGUGAACCAAAUUCUCAUUGAAUUGGAUUUUUCCAUUCGAAGGGGAUCGUACAAGGUCGGCAGUACCCCCUGUGAAUACUCCGCCAGUAUGAAAAGUUCUUAAUGUUAGUUGAGUCCCUGGCUCCCCAAUUGAUUGACCCGCAAUAAUACCUACGGCUUCUCCCAAUUCCACCAGAUCACUAUGAGUAGGACUCCGGCCAUAGCAUAAUUGACAGAUCCAAGAAGUGCUUCGGCAAGUAAAGGGGGUUCUAAUAUAUAUUGGUUGUGCUCGAAAUGGUUGUGCUCGAAAGGCAGUUAUGAAUCGAUUGACUAAUCCAAUUCCAAUAUCUUGAUUUCGCGCGGCAAUGCAUCGUGAACCGAUAUAUAUAUCGUCUGCUAAUACACGACCAAUUAGUGUUUGGACAAAAAGUUUUUCCGUCAUCCCAUUUUGAGGACUUACAGAAAUACCUCGGAUAGUACCACAAUCUCUUCUACGCACAAUAAUAUGUUGAACUACUUCAACAAGUCUACGUGUAAGAUAUCCAGCAUCUGCUGUUCGUACAGCAGUAUCUACAACCCCUUUGCGGGCUCCAUAGCAGGAAAUUAUAUAUUCUGUCAAAGAAAGUCCCUCGCGUAAAUUGCUUUGAAUAGGUAAAUCAAUCAUUUGUCCUUGAGGGUCCGACAUUAAUCCUCUCAUACCUACUAAUUGGUGUACUUGAGAUGCAUUUCCUCUGGCUCCUGAAAAAGACAUUAGAUAGACUGGAUUAGAAGGAUCCGUUAUCCGAAAAUUUGAAUUCAUUUCUUGUUUCAAAUAUUCACUUGUCGCAUACCAUAUCUCAACAGAUUGGCGUAAUUUUUCUACCGCGUGUACAGCCCCAUAAUAAUAGUGUUUCUCCAAAAGAAAACUCUGUUGUUCCGCGUCUUGGACUAACCAUCCCUUAGAGGGUAUUGUUAAAAGAUCCUCGAUUCCUAACGAAAUCGAUGUAGUAGUGGCUUGAUAGAAGCCCAGAGUCUUUAGUUGAUCCAGUAUAUGGGAUGUAUAUCCCAUUCCAAAAUGAUCUAUUAAUCUGCUAAUAAGUCGUUUCAUACCAGUUCCGUCUAUCUCUUUAUUAUGAAAGACCAGAUUGGCCCGUUCCGCCAUACAUAAGUACCCCCUUUUCGGCUGAGUAGGAUUCGACAAUUGCUGAGUAGGAUUCGACAAUGGGCCUGAGUCAGUGAUUCGAAAAUUUAAUUAACUUAAUUGCCUCAAUCUCAAUCUGGAUUCGCGUGGCAAAUAAUGAUGAUACUAGGGAAAUCGGAAUGCCCCCCGAAAGCAAAGGGGAGGGGCAUCGCCGAAUCUAACUUUCUUGUUUAGGUAGUGUAUGAAUAGGCCUGACUAAAUCCUUGUACGGCUUCCUCUAUUUCUCUAUAAAAAGAAAUAUGACCAAGAGUGGUUCGAAUGUAUAUCGAACGAAUUUCUUUUUUUCUAUUUCCCAUUAUUAGAUAGUGAGCAUAAAUCUCAUGAUAAGUCCCCAAAGAUUCAUAUUGAAUUUCAAUCGGAACUUCUCUUGACCCAAUGACGCGUUGAUCCAGGUUCCAUCGUAGCCACAAGGGACUAUCUAAACUGAUUAGUUUUUGUCUAUAAGCUCCCAGUGCAUCAUAAGAACUAGAAAAAUGGGGUUCUUUAUCUUUCCUAUACUUAGAAUUAUUAUUAUUGUAAUUGACUUUUAAAUUUGGAUAGUUUCUGAAACUAUUAUAUCUAUUUGCACAAAUACCUCGACGCUUUCCAAUUGUUAAUACAUAAAGCCCGAUAAGCAUGUCUUGGGUUGGUACGCAAAUAGGAUCCCCAAUAGCAGGAGAUAAGAGAUUCAUAUGAGAAAACAUAAGUAAACGGGCUUCCGCCUGAGCUUCCAAGGAUAAAGGUAGAUGAACAGCCAUUUGAUCUCCAUCAAAGUCUGCAUUGAAACCCUUACACACUAAUGGGUGUAAAGAAAUAGUACGCCCCUCUACUAAAGUGGGUUGAAAGGCCUGUAUGCCUAAUCUAUGCAGAGUAGGUGCUCUAUUUAACAGUACAGGAUGUCCCCGCAUAACUUCUUGAAGUAUUUCCCAUACAAUGGGUUCCUUUUCCCAAAUUUUCCUUUUAGCAAUCCUGACAUUAGAAGUGGCGCGUUUCGUGAUUAAAUCGCGAAUUACAAAUAGCUGAAAAAGCUUUAUUGCUAUCUCUAGAGGUAAUCCACAUUGAUGUAAUGAAAGCGAAGGACCCACAACAAUGACAGAACGCCCCGAGUAAUCGACCCGUUUCCCAAGCAGAGUCUCGCGAAACCUUCCCUCUUUACCUUCAAUUACAUCUGAAAGUGAUUUGUAUACUUUAUUGUGACCAUCCCUCGUCGGUUGCCCGCGGGACCCACUAUCAAGAAGUGUAUCCACGGCUUCUUGUACCAAUUUUUCCUGGCACAUUACUAAAUCUGCUGGCGCUAAUUCACUUCUUUUUAAUAGAUAGGCAAGAUUGUUGUUCCGACGGAUAACUCUCUUAUAAAGUUCAUUAAUGUCUGAAGUCACUACUUUAUCUCCAGACCUAUAAACAAUAGGUCUCAAUUCGGGAGGAAGAACCGGUAAUAAGCACAAAACCAUCCAUUCUGGUUCUACAUUUGUUUGAAUAAAAUGUUUCGCCAAUUGCAUGCGUCUAAUCAAAAAAACUUUUCUUAUUCGUCUUUUUCUAUCUUCCCACUCAUCUCCACUAUACCCCUCGUCUUCUAAUUCCUUCCAUUCGACCAAAGAAUUCUCUAUAAUAAUUCGCAAAUCCAAAUCUGCUAAUUGUUCUCUAAUAGCACCUGCUCCUGUCGCAAUUUCCCGAUUUCGAAAUGUUGCAAAGCCUGGGGUAGAAAAAAAGGGAGAAAUGCUGUGGUUACAGGAUGCAAUUUCCUCUUCGAAUAAACCUCGUAAUCGUAAAAAAGUGGGUUUUUUAGUGCUGGGCCUAGCAAAAGAGAAAUCGCCGUAUACUAGGCCCUCCAACUUCUUAAGAGGUUUAUCUAAAAGAUUCGCGAUAUAACUAGGAAGACCUUUCAAAUACCACACAUGAGUCACGGGACAUGCGAGUUUGAUGUAUCCCAUUUGAUAUCUUCGUAUCCGAGAAUCCACAAAUUCUACCCCGCAUUUUUGGCAAAAUCUUUCGUCUUCGUUUUCAGCUCCGCUCGCUCGAGAAUUGCCACAACCGCAAAUCCCGCUUUUUAUGGGUCCAAAGAUUCUUUCGCAAAACAAUCCAUCUUUUUCUGGUUUAUCGGUUUUAUAAUGAAAAGUAGAGGGCCUUGUGACUUCGCCAACGGCUUCUCCAUUAGGUAGGUUUUUGUUAGCCCAAGCCUUUAUUUGUUGAGGGGAAACGAGUCCAAUUUGAAGUUGUUGAUGUUUAUAUUGGUCAAUCAUAAAAUAGAAAUAAGAAAAGAAUUUAUAUUUAUUCCGAUCAAACUUCCUCCCUAUUAACCUGGAAGUUCUUUUCAGAUACAAGGAAAUGAUUCAGUUCUAGAGCCAAAGAUCGUAGUUCUCGAACGAGCACUCGAAAAGAUUCUGGAGGAUCCUCAUGAUUAGGUAUUCUUUUUCCCCAGAUCGUAGCAUUAAGUAUUUCUUGGCGAGCUAUAAGAUGGUCAGAUUUAUAAGUAAGUAUCUCUUGUAAAAUAUGAGCAACACCAAAUCCUUCUAAAGCCCAAACUUCCAUUUCUCCUACUCGUUGUCCCCCUUGCUUGGCUCUUCCUCUAACCGGUUGUUGUGUAACAAGUGAGUAGGGCCCAGUAGAACGCCCAUGAAUUUUCUCAUCAACUUGAUGAAUUAAUUUUAAGAUAUAGGACUUCCCUAUUAGAACAGGUUGCUCAAAGGGGUCGCCUGUUCUUCCAUCAAAUAUUCUGCUUUUUCCCGGGUACUCGGGUUCAAAUACCCAUGGAUUUUUUGUUUCUUUACUGGCUUCAUAUAAUUCUGAAAACACAAGUUUUCUUGAAGCCUCUUGCUCAUAUCUCUCAUCAAAGGGUGCUAUUCUAUAAUGUUUCUUUAGCAGAUCCCCCGCUAAUCCGAGCGAGCUUUCAAAUAUUUGUCCCACAUUCAUUCGGGAGGGUACUCCUAAGGGAUUGAAGACCAUAUCAACGGGUGUUCCAUCUUGCAAAUAGGGCAUAUCUUGCCUAGGCAAAAUUUUGGAAAUGAUCCCUUUAUUCCCAUGUCUUCCGGCUACUUUAUCCCCAACUUUGAUUUCACGUUUCUGUAAAAUAUAUACACGAACCAUUAUGUCGAGGGGGUCCCUUUGGAUCCAUUUCACAUCGAUAACGCGCCCUCUUCCACCUAUAGGUAAUUUCAGAGAAGUUUCUUUUGAAGUGGAAACCUCAAGGCCGAAUAUGGCCCGUAAUAAUCCAGCUUCUGCGAUAUAUGAUGAUUCGCUCGCUAUCUGAGGCGUUAAUUUACCUACUAAAAUAUCACCAGUUUCUACCCAGGAUCCCAACCUAACAACUCCAUUUUUGUCCAAAUUGCGGAGUAAAUGUUCUUCUAGAUGUGGUAUUUCUUUAGUGAUUUUUUCAGCGGAGCCCUGGCUUGUCGUAUCCGUCUGAAUUUCAUAUUUCCGGAUGUGAAAAGAGGUAUAAAUAUCCUCAUAUACCAAACGUUCGCUAAUUAGUACUGCGUCUUCAAAAUUGUAACCUUCCCAUGGCAUAUAAGCUACUAAUACGUUUUUUCCUAAAGCAAGUUCCCCCCCAACUGUAGCAGCUCCUUCUGCUAAAAUUUGUCCUUUUUUAAUGGAUUUACCCCGUGGAACCCGAGGUUUUUGGUGCAUACAAGUAUUUUUGUUAGAGCGACGGUGGUUAACUAAAGGAAUACUUAUAGUCUUCCCACUACUUGAUAAAAGUAUCUUAUGACUAUCAGUAGAAAUGAUCUUUCCCUCGCGUUCGGCUAUAACGGAAACCCUCGAAUCUAGAGCUGUUUGGCGUUCCAAUCCAGUUCCAACAAUGCAUUUCUCGGACCGAGAAAGUGGAACUGCUUGGCGCUGCAUAUUAGAACUCAUUAAAGCCCGAUUCGCAUCAUUGUGCUCAAUAAAAGGAAUGAGAGAACCCCCAAUAGAAAAAUAUUGGAAAGGAAAAAUACUUCUAACAUGAAUCUGUUCCCAUGCAAUAGUCAAGAAUUCUUGGCGGUAUCUAGCUGGAACAACCUGUUCUUCCUGAAUACCUUGAUUCAAGGACAAAGAAUUUCCUGCUGCUAUCAUAUAAUACUCAUCUCUAUUUGGUGAUAGAUAAACCACCUGUCUCUCUUUUUUUUCUUUUGCUUUCUCAGCAGAUAUUUCAUAAAACGGACUCUCUAUAGAUCCCCACAAGUGAUCAAUUCUCGCAUGAAUUGCUAAGGAUCCAGUAAGUCCAACAUUGAUUCCUUCAGACGUGUCAAUUGGACAAAUACGCCCAUAGUGACUCGGAUGAAUAUCUCGGCUCCGAAAACUUGCGGUUCUCCCCGUCAACCCUCCAGGACCUAAACAACUCACUUUUCGCCCAUGAACAGUUUGUGUCAAUGGAUUCGUUUGAUCAAAAACUUGAGAUAAUGGGUAUGUGCCAAAAAAGGUCUCAUAAGUAGUUAUUAAUAAAAUUGAAGUUGAAGUUGGAGUUACCAAAGUUUGGGGAGUCGGUUUCGAUUGACGUAUGAAUACUCUACGAAUAGUUUUUUGAACUGCAUGUUGUAAACGACCAAGAGCCAAUCCGAAUUGAUCUUGUAACAGAUCCGCAACCGAACGAAUACGUUUAUUUUUCAAGUGAUUCAUAUCGUCAUCGUCAAGUAUACCCGUUCCAAAUUUCAUUCCAAUCAAAUGAUCCGUAGCGGCCAAUACAUCUCGUGGUAACAAGAAUGUAUUGUUCUGAGGUAUAUCAAGAUUAAGUCUCCGAUUCAUAUUUCGUCGACCAAUCCUUCCUAAUUCACAUUUUUGUUGAAAAAAUUUCUUUUGUAAUUCCUCGCAUAAGGACUCCGAAAAUACCAGGUCCCCACCUACACAAGCAAAUUGUUGAUAAAACUCCAAAAUAGCUUUUUCUUUUGACUCAAUCCUCUUCUUCUCCUUAGCAUUCGGGAAAGACAAGAAAAUUUCAGGGUAGGAAACAUUAUCUAGAAUUUCUCUUAGAUUCGAACCCAUAGCUGAUGAUAGAACUAGAAUAGAUAUCUUUUGUUUUCUACUCACGCGAGCCCAUAUCCUUUCUUUUUUAUCAAUUGCUAAUUCCGAUCUCCCUCCCCAAUCUGAUAUUAUAGUCCCGGUGUAGAUAGAAAUUCCCUUAUGAUCUAAUUCCGAGCGGUAGUAAAUACCAGGACUUAGCAAUAUUUGAUUGAUCACAAUUCGGUAUAUUCCAUUUAUAAUAAAGGUUCCUAAGGAAUUCAUUAUAGGAAUGUUUCCGAUAGAAAUGGUUUGCUUUUGCACAUCGAAACCAAAAAUUAAUCUCGCAGAUACAUAUAAUUCGGAAGAAUAGGUGAGUGAUUCAUACACAGCAUCUCUUUCUUUUAUCGAGGGUUCUAGCAAUUGAUAUCCUUUCGCAAAUAAUUGAAAUGCAAUUUCGUGAUCUGGAUCUUUAAUUGUUGGAAACUUGUCAAGUUCUUCUGCCAAGGCUUGAUUAAUGAACCUAAAAAAUCCCUCGAAUUGGAUCUGACUAAAUCCGGGUAUUGUGGACAUUCCCUCGUUUCCAUUCCGGAGCAUCUUAAUCUUAAGUUUCCUGUUUAUCAAAGAAAAAUUCCAUUAUCAGCUCACUCUUCAUCAAUCCCUACGGAUUGAUCUAGCAAUCAUGGAAUCUAUAUUCUGUUUACUGAAUCACAUGAAAUUCUAGGGAACUCCACAUACGUAUUUCAUAUAUGUAUUUCAUACAUAUGAAUAGAGACCAUUUCGACGAAAAUUCUAGUUUACCAGGGGUACAAAUGAAAUGAAAAUGAAUUGCUAAAAUAUUCCUACAAAAAAAAUUAUGCCACUUAUACUUUAUAAUAUUCUAAUCAGAUUGAAUGGCAAAGAUUUCUCAUUUUAUCCCCUUUCUAUGAAUGUAAUAAAGCCGUAAUAUAAUACACUAGAAAGUUUUACUUUACUUCGAUUUAGAAUAGCGUGCUUACUUUAAUUUCUAAAAAUAAUUUGAGGGUUCUUUUUUAUUUCGGAUCGGAGUAGUAUAAUUGCUAGAAAAUUAAGUAUUUCAUUGUGGAAUUCUAAAAUAAAGUAAGUCCCUUUUUUAAGUACAUGCCAAUCUAAUUAUCCACCUCUCCCCAUAUCCAUGCUUUUCUUUUAUCGUAAUUUCACUUGGGUAGGCCAAGAUAGUCAGGUUAUACUCUAAUAUCAGAGCAAAUUUCCUUUUUUUAUUCAAGAUAUUUAAUUUAAUACUUUGAAAAAUUAAAGCACGAUUCCCCAUAGAGAUAUGUACAUAAAGGGGAUCUUUGGAUAAUAAUGCUGCUCGGACCUAAAGUUCACCUAUACACGGAUUAAGCAUAAAGCCAUAAUAUUUUAUUAUGCCAUUGAAAUUGAAGGGGGGGAGAUAAUACCGAUUUAAGAGUAGUUCACUACUGCAAUUCAAAAAAGAAAGAGAAUUCUAGUUAAUGGUUCCAAUUUGUUCUGAAUUUUGCAGCCUGUGACUAGAAAUCCACUUUUCUUCUUUUUCAUCUCAAUAGAAAGAAAUGGGAAGUUUUAUUGUGUUAGCAAUGUAUGUUUUAAGAUAGAAUCUAUCGAGGAGAAUAAUCGAAACUGGAUCAAAAAAAGCAGGAGUAUCUUUUUUGAAAAAGAUUGGAAAAAAGUAAGUUUAAUUAUAUUCAAAAUAAAAGAAAGGGGCUUUUCGUAAGAAAACGUGGAUGAAUACUUGCUGUUUUCUAGAUUUUCGAUCGGAUUUUUUGGCGGCAUGGCCAAGCGGUAAGGCAGGGGACUGCAAAUCCUUUAUCCCCAGUUCAAAUCUGGGUGCCGCCUGAUCAAUAAAAUACUUAGGUUUUCUAGUACUGAUCGAAUUCAAUCAAUUUUUACUUCGCAUAAGUUCGGGCAAGAGAGUAACUAAGCCUGCCGAUACUGGGUUUAGAGAAACCAUACCAUAGUUCUAUCCUUAAACUAGGGUUAGGGUUUGUUUUGGCGGUAGUGGCCAAAAUGGUUAUCAAUAGGGGUGAGGUAGUGUUUCCUUAUUCUUUUAUUAUAUGAAUUUGAAUUGGUUCUUAAUUGAUUCGAUUUGAGAAUUUUUAAAUACGAGGAUAAGAUGUCAGAAAUCUUGGUAUCCAAAGAAAGGUCCCUAAGGGGCAUUCUUCUCUUUUUCAAUCUAAGAUUCCAGAAGGGACUCCACGAAAGAAUAUCAAGACUUCCUAAUUAUCAUACAUUUUUUUAUCGUACAUCUUAUGUGACCUACAUACACUAGAGUAACAAAAGGAAUAAAAAAUCUUCCUAUUCCCGCUUCUUCUAUUCAGGACAUCAUUCCCGUACUCUUUCUUUUUUAAGGUAAGGAAAAAAGGGCUUUAUAGUAUCGUAUUUUUAAUGCUCUCUAAUUCUACAAGAAUUCCUAUAAGAAUUUGUUAGGAGUAAAUUCCUUGAACUGAUUGAUCCAUGGCCUUAGGGCAGAAGCCCUUUUUGACUCUGUACCCUUGAUUCCACUAUGAUUAUUGAUCAAUAGUAGAAUAAUCCCUUCAUAGAAAUAGGAGACAUAAUUUAGAUGGAUAUAGUAAGUCUCGCUUGGGCUGCUUUAAUGGUAGUCUUUACAUUUUCUCUUUCACUAGUAGUAUGGGGAAGGAGUGGACUCUAGGGAUACGAUACUACUAAUUGAUUAAGUAAUCAAAUUGUUGUAUCAAUUCUUUUUUUAAUUGAUCGUUUUGCAUUAAUUAUUUUGUCAAACGUUAUUCUUUAAUCUUUUUCUUUAGUUUUGUUUCACUCCUGUAAGAAACUCUUGUAUUGUAAGAAAGAGCCAUUAUACCAAUUAAGAAUUUCUACUAGAAAUGACUAAUGGUUAAAAAAAGUUCUAUACAUAAGAAAAUUAGACUUUCUUCCACGGAACUAUUCACGGCAUAUCACACAUUUUCCAUUUGUUUUAUACUCUUUCUUUAUUCUUAGAAUAAUUUUUAUUCUCUUUUGAAGCAUCUCGCGGGAUAUUUAAGCAUGAAAGAUUCGCUGGUUUUUUCCUUUUACUUUUUACUAUAGUCUAUUCUUAUAUUAUUUUUCUUUCCUUCCAUGGAUUCUUUGGUCAAGAAUUGUCUUCGAUUUUUUUAUUUUGACCUGAUUGAAAUUAAGUGGAUGCAAUGAAAAAAGAAAUUGAAUUAGACUACUUAACUAUUUCAAUCUACUAAUCUAUUCUAUGUAGAUUCAAAGAUAAUAUAAUAGAAAGACUCUAAAGUGUCGUAGAAAAAACUAUAUGUAGUUCUUUCUACCACACUUUAAGAUUCCAACCAGAUCCUUUCAUUUAAGACUUGGAUUUUUUUUAUUUAAUCCCUUUUUCAUUUCUUCAAUGAUUAAUUGGAAUUCCACUUAAUUAUUUUGGCUGACUGUUUUUACAUAAAUAAUAAGUAAAAAAGAAGUAGGAAUUAGAAUGAACAGUGCAGUAGCAAUAAAUGCGAGAAUAUUGACUUCCAUAACCUCUUUAUUUUUUAUUUUCACAAUAACUCGGGAUGUAAUCCCAUGGAGAGGAAAAAGGGGUAUCUUGUAAAUUCAAGGGUAGGGCUUGCAUUCUGAUAAUACUGAAUCAAUUCAAUAUUAUGAAUAUCGGAUCUAUCAAAUCAAUUCAUGGAUGAGAGUUAUAUAGUAUAACAUAGGAAGAUCCUAUAUCCAUACUAAGACCAAAAUGGGUUUUUUGAUUGGAUUAGGAAUUCCCUCUUUUUUAAUCCUUUUUUUUUCUACUUUUUCUUUUCUAUAUCUCUAACCCACGAGCUUUCUUAAUCUUAUACAAUUUCUCUUCCUUUUUCUUAUAGUUAUACAUACAAUUAUGUAUGUAUUAUAUGAGCAACUUUCUAUGGGUCACAUAGACAUCCAAAUAAGCAGUAGAAGUGAGAUGGGGAAAAGAGGUCUGAAAUAAAAAGGGAAUACAAUUUAUGUAUGGAUUCCGGUAAAAUACCGGUACUCUAUUCCAUAACAGUGGAAUAGGAAAUUAAGAUGAGGAUGGUAUCAUCAUAAAGAAAGAUAGAGUAAUAUCCUAAAAUUCUACUAAUCCACAUAUCGUAUGUGUGUCUUUCUUUAUCUUUAUCGAUCGGGAGUAGUGAAAAAAAUUCCUAUACUCCUUCCCUCCCUCUUUAAUGAGAGAUGCAAAAUAAAAAAGUGAAGUAAGGGUGCCCUAUGGGUAUUUGAUCUUGCUCCCUGCCCCUUUUUUUUCAUGGAAAAAGGAAAUAUGAAUUUCUCCAUUCAUUGAACCCUAGUUCGGGACUGACGGGGCUCGAACCCGCAGCUUCCGCCUUGACAGGGCGGUGCUCUGACCAAUUGAACUACAAUCCCCGCGGGGUGUAUGGCAUACCCAUUCUUAAAUAGAACCAUAAGAAGAUUCGAUUCGUCUGUCGUACUCUAAGAAAUAGACGAAUCAUAUACUACAUACCCACAUAUUAAUAUUAUAUUAUACGUGGGUAUAGUGAGAGUGACAUAACUAGUAUGUCGUGAUUUUUUAUCACUAAAAAUGGAUAAUAAUCCACCCUUCAACAAGAAAAACUCUUUUGUUUGUAAGAAAGGAAUGAGAGAGAUAUGGAUUAGAAAAAAAAAUCCCCUUUUUUAUUUCUCUUUUAUUUCUAUAGAUCAGACAUUUUAUUUUAUGGGAGAAAAACAAAAGGAUUUAGUUCAUAUUCACGAAGCCCUAGAUUUUUGGGCCGAGCUGGAUUUGAACCAGCGUAGACAUUGUCAACGAAUUUACAGUCCGUCCCCAUUAACCACUCGGGCAUCGACCCAGGAAGAAUUUAUUCUAGGGUUUUUGCUAAUCUAUGAUUAACCUCCUUUCAUAAUACUCCCUACCCCCAGGGGAAGUCGAAUCCCCGCUGCCUCCUUGAAAGAGAGAUGUCCUGAACCACUAGACGAUAGGGGCAUCACUAGACGAUAGGGCCAUAUACAACCGCUCGUGAUUAUACUAUAAUCAUAGUAUGAGCAGUUUUUUUGAAUUGUCAAUAUACUCGAAAAGUAUAACUAGAUCCAAAGCAAAGAGUUUUUCUAACUUUUCUGCUAUGUUUUCAUCUAGGAUUUUUUUAGUUGAUGGUUAGAUUAAUUCAUGGAUCAUCCUCUACCUUUUAGGGAAAUUCAUUUUAAAUGUAUAGAAUAAGAAUGGAUUACUAAAAGGGAUUCUAGAUUAGUUCAGUACAGGUAGUUAUUUUAUUGAUCUAAGAUAAGAUGAAAAAGAGUCCAAUUUUUUUUUUAUUUCCAUUCCGUGCUUCAUUUAGUGUUCAGACCAAAAAUGCAUUCAUCCCGCACUAAGUCAUAAAAUUCUCUAAAGAGAAAGCUUCAAAAACAAAGAAAAAAGCGAAUCAAUUUAGUAGAAAAGUACUCUAUCAGAUUCGAACCAAUGACUUACGUCUUAGCACGAGAUUACUCUACCACUAAUUUAAAAAGCCCUUUAUCGGAUUUGAACCGAUGACUUAUGCCUUACCAUGGCAUUACUCUACCACUGAGUUAAAAGGGCUUUUUAUUUAAUUCAAAAAUUUGCCACUUUGAUUUCCCAUUAUGGGUCUACUGCAUAAUGUACAUAUUAUAUAUAUAUAAUAUAUAGAGAUAUAGAGAGAGACAUUAUGUAUAGAUUGUAUAUGUAUUGAUAUCUUGAGAGCUCAAAAUAAAAUUAAGAAAAAAAAACAUACCCAACUCUUCUUGGUUCAUGGUUUUCCGUUUCCGAAGGCUAGUAAAAUAGGCGGAUUCUGGAACCCCAAGGAUUCAAUGGUAUAUGGAAAAUAUAAGAUUUCCAAUCCUAGCGGGAAAAGGCAGGGAACAGAUACCCAAUAGGAUAGGAUCCUUGGGAGGAACUUUUGGUAAUGGCCUUGAUCCUCUAUGCUAUUUUUUAUGUGUUCUUAGUUCUAUUGAACUUUUUUGAUUCUUUUAAACAAGAAUCUAAUAAACUAGCAUUGAGUCAGUGGAAAAAAGGAGAGAGAGGAAAGUGUUAAAUGGAGAGAGUCGACUAAUCAUAGACUUUUAGGAUCUUCUUUACAUCAGGUAAAUCUGUCAGCCCUGUCCGUUUUUUUCUUUAAGUUACGACUCUUUAAGUUACAACUCUUUGCUUCUUACUUCUAUCAAGCCAUAGGGAAAGUCUAUGAUGAAUUUGGAAAACUCAUCUCACUCUUACUCUAUGGCUCGGACUUAAUGGGGGAAGAAAACAUCUUCUAUAAUUUCUUUUUUGUUCAAUUCUGGACAAAAAAGAAAAGGAAAAAAGGAAUUUAUAGGGACAGUGUUACCCCCUAUAUCCCCUAGUUUAUAUUGUAGGAAUAAUAAAACAAUUUAGCAGUCUGGCACACUUACGUCCUCGCAAAGUAAAUAAUGAUUAUUGUAGUCGUAACCGUAGAAUAGGAUAGGAUCCUAAUCAAAAUAAAUACAUUUGGUUCAGGCGCUAUUAGCAGGGUAAGAAGAGAUUUAUUUUACAGACCAGAGGGAGAGGGGCUAUCUAAAUCCUAAAGUAAAGGCGCGCGAUCGAAGUAGAAGUACCAAUGGCUCAGUGUCAUGAACCUUCUCCAUCUGAUUCAAUAAGGGGGAAUUAGCCUCCUUGUCAAAUGGCUAUCCUUGACAAAGGGUACCAUUUAUACCAUAAUAUACAAUGUAGCGGGUAUAGUUUAGUGGUAAAAGUGUGAUUCGUUCUAUUAAUAACUGAAUUUGAAAUGAUAUACUUAAGGCAUCCUUAAGUUUUUUUUUAUAUUCCGAUGAAAACUUUAGUUCUUAUAAAGGAUUAAAUCCUUUUCCUCUCAAUAGCAUAUUGAGGAAGAAUAUACAUUCUGGCGAUUUGUACCCAAAAACUAAUUUAAAUUGCAUCCAAAAUAAAAAUUGGAUUAUGAUAUGAGUACAGAGUCGCGAAGCAUAAUUUUGCAUUGGAUUUAAGUAUUCCAAUUUUGAAAAUAUGAGUAAAGGAUCUAUGGAUGAAGAUACAAAAAAGUUGAUUUCCAAUCGUAACUAAAUCUUCUUUUGUUAAAGGAUAAGGAAGCCAAAUAGCUAAAAAACGAUAGUUUUGGUUUACUAGAACCAUCCGCAUAUUGUUUCAGCUCGGUGGAAACCCAAUUCUUUUCCUCAGGAUCUCUUGAAUGAAAUUAGGGAACGAAGUAAGUAGAUUAGAUGGAUUUAGAUAGAAUUUCUAUCUCCUACUCUAUAAGGAUCAUCUAGAAAGCAGAGAGCUUUGGUUCCAUUCAAAUAGAAAAGCUGACAUAGAUGUUAAGUGGUGAGAAUAUCCAUAAAGGAGCCGAAUGAAAUCAAAAUUUCAUGUUCGGUUUUGAAUUAGAGACGUUAAAAAUAAUCAACCAACGUCGACUAUAACCCCUAGCCUUCCAAGCUAACGAUGCGGGUUCGAUUCCCGGCUACCCGCUCCAUUCUGUAUAAAAGGAGUAUUCUAUUUGUCUAGACAUGUUAAAGGCUUGUAUUCAAGCCUUUUUUGUCCACCAGUUUCUGGUACUACAGAGCGGAGUAGAGCAGUUUGGUAGCUCACGAGGCUCAUAACCUUGAGGUCACGGGUUCGAUUCCCGUCUCCGCACUUAGCAGUCUCUAUAAAAGGAGUAUUCUAUUUCUCUAGAUAUGGUAGAGGGGCGUAUCCAACCCUUUUUUAUUCAUUAGUUCCGGGCCCUAGAGGGCAAAAUUGAGCAAUUUGCGAAGCCACUUGCCUUCACAAAAAGAAGGCGCAAGGCUUCUCCCUACCUUGCAGAAAAUAAAAAUGAAAUGAAAGGGACAGUCUACCUCUCCCUUCCUUUUAAAAACAGUUUGCCCGUUGUUUGUCUCAGUUAAUACCCAAUUUUGGGGCUCUGUUGGCUAGUUCUAUUUCUGCCUCCGGAGCGCCCUCUUUUUUUGAGGGGGAUGCAAAGGAAGGGUAAAUAUAGUAAGGGAUACGGCACUAGACUAAUACUUAAUUAAUACUUAAUUUAAUAUAAGUAGUUAAACAAUUAACUAGACUAAACUUUUUAUCAUAGUACUUUGAUAAAUUAAGCGGGCGAGCGGCGGGAAUCGAACCCGUAUCUUCUCCUUGGCAAGGAGAUGUUUUACCAUUGAACUACGCUCGCUACGGUAUAUAUUUUAUAGCGUAUAUCCGCUUGGGUCGACCGUCUAUGUCUGGGUCGACCGUUUCAUUUCAUUUUCUAUUCUAUUAUAUUAGAUAUUAGAGUUUUCCUUUUUUUAUUAUCUGUCAAUGAAUAUUCUAAUGGGAAUUUCAUAAUACUGAAAGAGAAGAGCUAGCAAUUCGGAACGCAAAUUGCGUUUUAAUACGUCUCACUAUUCGAAUUUUUUAAAUGGCCUUUAUUAUUUCUUUUUUAUGGGGUUACUAAAUAUUAACCAAAUUUAAUUUAAGAAAUGAGAGAAUUCAGAAUAGCUACGAGAAAGACUAGUCCAAUCCAUAAUGAUGUACCGGAAAAUACAACAUUUUUAUUAUUUGACCAACCAUCAGGAGAAGCAAAUACAAGGGGUACACUAAUUACUAAGACUGAGGAAGUCGCAAUUAAUGCAAAAACAGCUAAUUGGAAAGCAAUAGUCAUAUUUCUAAUCCUCCAAGCUACCAUCAAAUAAAGUUGACUACAUAUUUGAUCCCUCACUUAACCAAAAUUGUAAAAAAAUACAAGAAGUAGGAGGGGUUUAAUCAUGAAUCCAUUGAUUCUUCUCUUUAAUUAAAAUUUAUUACUUAACCUCUUUUUUAUUUGGAUAUGGGGGUGAGAGGAGGUUAUUUAGUCUUUAUUUCACAAGCGGGUAUAGCGGAUCCUGUAUCCGUGUAUACAGUAUACAGAGAUAUAUCGAAAAGGAACUUGUAUCUGAUAUCUUUCUAGAGGUUAAUAAAUAUUUUUAUUUUUUAUAUGGCUAUGUUCUAUUUGUAGGAGUAAAAUAAGGAUUAGGCGGUGGAGAGAUGGCUGAGUGGUUGAUAGCUCCGGUCUUGAAAACCGGUAUAGUUCUAGGAACUAUCGAGGGUUCGAAUCCCUCUCUCUCCUUUUGCUUAUUGAAUACGUUUGUUUCUUUCAUUUUUUUUUAUUCUGUCCCUUAUCUUUCUUUCAUAAAAAGGAAUGAAUGGCUCGGCUAGAUAGAAUAACCGAGCCAGAACAGAAAAAAAGUAGAACAGGUAUAAAUAAGAAAAUCUUAGUUAAGAGGGUUCAUGUAAAGAACAGGUUCCAAAUCACGAUCGAUUCCCUUUUCAAAACCUGCUGCAGCAGCUCGGGCUCUUCCUGCAUGCCAUAAAUGGCCCACAAAAAAGAAGAAUCCUAGAACAAAAUGAGAAGUUGAUAACCAACUUCUAGGAGAGACAUAAUUAACUGCAUUGAUCUCGGUCGCUACGCCACCCACGGAAUUUAAAGAGCCUAAAGGAGCGUGGGUCAUAUAUUCUGCUGAGCGCCGUUCUUGCCAAGGUUGUAUGUCUUUUUUCAACCUACUCAAGUCCAAACCGUUGGGGCCCCUUAGAGGUUCUAACCAUGGAGCACGAAGGUCCCAAAAACGCAUAGUUUCCCCUCCAAAGAUAACCUCCCCAGUUGGGGAACGCAUUAGAUAUUUCCCUAAACCUGUGGGUCCUUGAGCGGAUCCCACAUUAGCUCCAAGACGCUGGUCUCUAACUAGAAAAGUAAAUGCUUGAGCUUGAGAAGCUUCUGGCCCGGUGGGUCCAUAAAACUCACUCGGAUAAGCUGUAUUAUUGAACCAUACAAAACAACAAGCGAUAAAACCAAAGACAGAUAAAGCAGCUAAACUAUAAGACAAGUAAGCUUCUCCAGACCAUACAAAUGCACGGCGAGCCCAUGCGAAGGGUUUGGUUAAAAUAUGCCAAAUUCCCCCAAAUACACAAAUAAAACCCAACCAUACAUGUCCACCAAUUAUAUCUUCUAAAUCAUCUACACUAACAAUCCACCCUUCUCCCCCAAAAGGAGAUUUUAGUAAAUAACCAAAUAUAACACUGGGACUAAGGGUCAAAUUGGUAAUUUUUCUUACAUCUCCCCCCCCAGGGGCCCAGGUAUCAUAUACACCGCCAAAAUAAAGAGCCUUGAGUACUAGAAGAAAAGCACCUAGACCUAACAAAAUUAAGUGAAUACCCAAAAUUGUAGUCAUUUUAUUUCUAUCUUUCCAGACAUAACCAAAGAAUGGAAAAGAUUCUUCAAGAGUCUCGGGUCCCAGAAGCGCGUGAUAAAUGCCACCGAAGCCUAAGACUGCGGAGGAAAUUAGGUGAAGUACGCCAGAUACAAAGUAUGGAAAAGUAUCUAGAACUUCCCCCCCUGGCCCUACUCCCCAACCUAGAGUAGCUAAGUGUGGAAGUAAAAUCAACCCUUGUUCAUACAUGGGCUUUUCUGGUACGAAAUGGGCCACUUCAAAUAGGUUCAUUGCUCCGGCCCAGAAUACGAUUAAUCCGGCAUGGGCUACGUGAGCUCCAAGUAGUUUACCGGACAAAUUGAUAAGUCUGGCAUUCCCAGCCCACCAAGCAAAGCCGGUGGUUUCUUGGUCACGACCAGCUAAAACGAAAGUUCCAUUAAAGAGCGUUUCCACGUGGUAGAACCUCCUCAGGGAAUAUAAGAUUUUCAUGAGGCUGAUCCUGAGCUGCCAUCCACGCACGAAUACCCUCGUUUAAAAGAAUAUUUUUGGUGUAGAAAGUCUCGAAUUCAGGAUCUUCCGCUGCACGGAUUUCCUGGGAAACAAAGUCAUAGGCACGUAAGUUCAGAGCCAAGCCAACUACGCCAAUAGCACUCAUCCAUAAACCGGUGACGGGUACAAAUAGCAUAAAGAAAUGUAACCAACGUUUAUUGGAAAAAGCAACACCAAAGAUUUGGGACCAAAAGCGGUUAGCAGUGACCAUUGAAUAAGUUUCUUCAGCUUGAGUUGGGUUAAAAGCACGGAAGGUAUUUGCACCAUCACCGUCCUCAAAUAGAGUGUUUUCUACGGUUGCUCCAUGAAUAGCGCAUAGCAGAGCCGCGCCUAAUACUCCGGCAACUCCCAUCAUAUGAAAUGGGUUCAACGUCCAAUUAUGAAAUCCUUGGAAGAAAAGGAUGAAUCGAAAUAUCGCUGCUACGCCAAAACUCGGCGCAAAGAACCAACCAGAUUGCCCCAGUGGAUAAAUAAGGAAUACCGAAACAAAAACAGCAAUUGGACCAGAGAAUGAGAUUGCAUUAUAAGGCCGCAAUUGAACAGACCGAGCAAGUUCAAAUUGGCGUAACAUGAAACCUAUUAGUGCAAAAGCCCCGUGGAGAGCUACAAAAGUCCAUAGACCGCCUAAUUGACACCAACGAGUAAAAUCUCCUUGUGCUUCUGGCCCCCAUAGUAGCAACAAAGAGUGUGCUAAACUAUUGGCAGGGGUAGAAACUGCUGCGGUUAAGAAAUUACAACCUUCCAAAUAGGAACUUGCCAAUCCAUGGGUAUACCAAGAAGUUACAAAAGUUGUCCCUGUAAACCAACCCCCUAAAGCGAAAUAAGCACAAGGAAAGAGCAAUAGGCCAGACCAUCCUACAAAAACGAAACGGUCCCUUCGUAACCAGUCAUCCAUAGUAUCAAAUAGAUCAUUUUCUUCUUUAGGAACUCUACCAAGGGCUAUAGUCAUAGUGAUCCUCCUAUUCAAUUACUUCAACCAUUUCCGAGCACCUCAUAUCACUUUCCAAGGCAUAUGAUAGUUUUAUAUCUGUGGACGAUUUCUUUCUCGUUCAAUGCCCUUUUUCAAUGGUCUCGAAGAGAGAAAUUUUCCAUUUUUAUCUAUGGAGUCACAACCGAGGUCGUUGUAAAUCCAUGAAUUUGAUUCGAUUUGUUUUUCUUAUCUUAUACUUAUAGAAAUAAACCUUUGAAUUCAGCAUUAUUCCAAGACUCCUAUUUCAAAGUCUAUCUUUUAAGGGAAAAAUGAAAAUAAAAGUAACCCCUUUUUUCCCAUUCCCUCUCUAUUGCAUGGGGGGAAGAACUAAAAUGGAGGAUUCUGAAAAAAAAAAGGACCUUCGAAAUCAAUUUUUAUGUGUAGCGCAAAGGAGUUGCGAUUUCUUCUUAUUCCUAUAGAACAUCUAGUAACAAGAAUAUGAAAUCGUAAAUAGCGAAAAAUUCUUGUCUUGCGCGGUCUAAGUCUAAGGAAAUACGAAAAAUUCGCUUAUACAAUUUCAUCUACAUCGAAUUUAUAUAUCAGAAUAGCGGAUAGAGGCAUCAUUCAAGGAGUCAGGUCUACUUACUUUAUGCUUCUUUCCAAUUUUAUGGUGGAUUUGAUAAGAACCCUUUUUGCUUUCUUGAUAAAUAAUCGACAAAAAAAAAAAAGCGUUUUUUUAUAUAUAGCUUGUUUUAUUAUAAUUAUAACAAGUCCUAUAUGGAAAUGCCCGCUAAAGAGAAAAUCUAUUUGAUUGUCUCUCGGUCAAUAUCGAUUUUUACAAAGAAAAAACAAGAAUUUUCUUCUUUUUUUUAUUAACAUUAAGAAAAAAGAAUAUAACUAAAAUGGAAUUGGCAAUAUAAUUUUUAUAGACUUUUGAAAGAAAAAAAGGGGUUUUUUGCAACCGUUAUUUCUUAUUUCUUGCCUAUAUCAUAUCACGGAAACCUUUCGCUUUGGAACGUGGAGAGAUGGCUGAGUGGACUAAAGCGGCGGAUUGCUAAUCCGUUGUACAAUUUUUUUGUACCGAGGGUUCGAAUCCCUCUCUUUCCGCUCCCUUGGAUCAUUUGGGACUUUCAAACUGGAAAGAAUUCUGACCCCCGGAUUUUCUCAUAGAUAAAUGUACGAAACAAAUCCAAUUUGUAAGAAAAAAAAAAAUUGAAUUUUUACUCCUCGCGUCCAGGAUUCCGUCCUGGAUCAUUAGAUAAGAAUCCAAAGAUAAAGAGUGAAACAAAGAAUAUCACUACUGUAUAAACAAAAAGUUUGAGAGUAAGCAUUACAUAAUCUCCAAGAUUUUUUUUAAGGAAUAGAUUACCAGUUUUUCCUUACCACACGGAUCCACUAGGAUGGUUUUUUUUGAUACCUAAAAAUGCAAAAAUGAAUUCUGGAAAAAAAUUGCAAGAAUUCAUUUAUAAUAAGAACUCUUAUCAAUAGCAAAAAUAGGGUUAGGUGGUAUUGAAUAGGUAUUGUGUAGGUACCUAAAGGUACCUGCUCAACCUAGGUGCAGGGGAGUAGAAAGGCUGAUCCAAAUUUAUUGCUGUAGCUACCCAUUCAAUGUAGAAUAAUUUCAAUUUUAGAAUUGAGGGUUCAUAAUAUAAAAAUAUAAAACUUCUCGGCUUUUACCCAUUUUAAUUUUUUUUUGGUAAUGAACACAUCAUUCAAUUUGGCAUACAGAGUACUAAAGAUUUCAUCGAAAACUUACAGCAGCUUGCCAAACAAAGGCUAAUAGAAAAAAGAAUAGAGGUAUAACAGGCAUAAUAUCCACGAUUGGAUUGAAAAUAGCAUAAGCUUCGGGCAAUUUGGCAAAGAAAAAACUAGUAGGAUAAAGAACAGAAUUAAAACAGAUACAGGUUAAACUAAGUAUAUUAGGCAUAACAAGCAUUUCAUUCUUGUAGAGUAAAUAAUUGGAUUUUGAUUGAGUUAUUUUUUUAAGGGAAAGAAGGAAAAGGCAGAUUCAAAAUCUUUUUUUCUUCGGACUUUCCCAAACACAAAAUACCUCCUUGUAUUCGCACUCUCAAAUGAGAGUGGAAUAAAUUCGACUUUCAUAUAAUAUCUUAAUAGAAUUCCAUGUAAUGAUCAAUGCAUUUUUUUGAUUCUAUAUUAUCUGCAUGUGUAGAAUACUAGCAAGAGAAUAUCUCUUCUUUAUUUAUGUAAUUGAAAUGGUAUUGACGAAUAACAAAUAAACAUAAUAGUGUUUAUUAGUGUCGCAUAAAACCCGAAAUGGGGCGUGGCCAAGUGGUAAGGCAGCGGGUUUUGGUCCCGUUACUCGGAGGUUCGAAUCCUUCCGUCCCAGAUUGUUUCUGAUGAAACAAACGGUGAAAUCAUAUAGUACUCCGUAUGAGACAAAAGUUUAUUAAAGAGAAUAAUGAUAUCUUAUGUUUUCUCAGAAAACAUAAUAAAGUCUUAAGUCCAGUCAAAUUGACUACCUUUAUUUUCAUGAAAAAAAUGGGAUCUAGCAGGCACAUUCAGGAUAUGCCUCUACUAUGAUCACUUAAUAAUCACUUAAUAAUCACUUAAUCAUAUUUUUUUCUUCCUUUUGGUCUUCGAGUCGAAGAAGUACCAAAAACAAUUAACUACCAAAAACUUUCAAUCUAUUCAUUGGAAUAGUUUAUUUAGUUAUUAUAGUUAAUUGUUUUUGGUACGGAAAAAAUAUAUUACUAAUAGAAUUCUAAUUCUAGUAAUUAAAUGAAUUAAACUUUUUUGGAGGUUGAUAGUUUAUUUAUUGAGGAAGAGUCAAUCCUUCUCUUCUCACUUCAAGAUUGAUCAUCUCGAGCCAUCCGUUGAGGGUGGAAAUUUAAUAAUAAAUAAGUUUUAAGCAAACUUGUUUAGUCGUCUUUUUCUAUGUUUCAUUCAUAUGAUAGAAUUCGAAUAUGGGUUUAAAUAAAUUGGAUCUUGGCGGAGGCUUCCCGGAUAAAUACUUACUUUCUUUUAUCCAUAUUGCUCCAUAGAUAGCAAGUUUUAAUUUUAAUUAGUAUACAAAAAACAAAACCAAUGACUAUUCAUGAUUCCAUCCAUAUUGGAUCAAUUUUCUAUACCACUUUGCAAUGAAAAGAGGAAUGUUUGUUAUGGUAAAACUUCGUUUAAAACGAUGUGGUAGAAAGCAACGUGCGACUUGAAGGACAUGAUCGAUUGUGGAUUUUGCUAUCCAUCAUUUUCCAUAGUAAUGAAAAUGCUCUUGGCUCGACAUAGCCUGUUCUAUUCGUUCCGAACCAAAUUUGCGCAGGGUUUAAGUAACAUAGUACACGAUGGAGCUCGAGAGGACAGAGUUUAUUUUUUAUCAAGGGAAAGAAUCUAGGGUUAGUGAAAACUAAUAAAUUAGGCCAACUUUGUCAGUCUAUCCUUAAUAUAGAAAUAAAUCGAAAGGUUAAAAUACGAAGAAAGUCCAAUAAAAGUAUAUCAGAAUCAAUCCCCCUUAUUAGAUUUCUAUAGAAGAGAUAAAUGCUUUAUCGAAGGAAAUAAGAAAAAAGGGUAUGUUGCUACUCUUUUGAAAGAAAAAAAUAGGAAUUCCCGAAGUAAUGUCUAAACCCAAGGAUUUCACAAAUCAAAGAUAAAGGAUUCCAGAACAAGUAAACACAAUUUUCAAUUGUCUCAACAACAGAGUUGGAUCAGAAUAAGGAAUAAAAGUCAAUUCGUUCGAAAUGAGACAAAGAAAAGAGUUUAAAGACGACUCAAAAAUUUUUGAAGGAUUUUGCCUUCGAAGUUUCUCAGGCAGAAUUAGCCAACUUGAGUCAUGAGUAUAAAUGAAAUUUGUUUUUUCUGUAAGGAAAUUAAUGGACGUCAUAGUCUAAUUUCUAUUAUUAUCGACAGAAAUUCGAAUCAUUUUCUCGAGCCGUAUGAGGAGAAAACCUCCUAUACGUUUCUAGGGGGGGCGUUGUUUAUCUACAUCUAUCCCAAUAAGCUGUCUAUCGAAUCGUUGCAAUUGAUGUUCGAUCUCGAAGAGAAGGAAGAGAUCUUCGAAAAGUAGGUUUUUAUGAUCCGAUAAAGAAUCAAACUUGUUUAAAUGUUCCAGCUAUUCUCUAUUUCCUUGAAAAGGGUGCUCAACCGACAAGAACUGUUUAUGAUAUUUUAAGGAAGGCGGAAUUCUUUAAAGAAAAAGAAAGAACUUUGAGUUAAUUGAAGAACUAAAUGAAUAAAAAAGUAGGAUAGGAGAAGAUUAUUAGUAUUCCUCGUUGUCUAAUUAUUUAGACACAAUUUACCUCUUUCUUAAUCCUAUUUGGAUUUAUAUCGUGCCAAUCCAACAUAAGCCCCUAUUUUAUUUACUUUUUCUAUCUAAUUUGUUUUCUUACCAUUGUAUUUCCAUUGACAAAGGUCUAUUGAACAAAUAGAAUUUGUAGAUAGAUGGGUCUCUUUAUCCUCACUCCAUAUUUAAUUUUUCUGCUUACACUUCGCUCAAAUGAUAAGGGUGUUCCUCUUGCAUGUAUUCUCAUACAAUAUAAUAUAUAUUUUUUUAAUAAAAAUCGCUAAAAAAAGGAGAAUUUGGCCAUCGUGAUUAGGGUCGCUCUUUUUUUUCACUUUAGUGGAAUUUAACCGGACCUGUUCGUUUUGCCAUUUGAGUGUUUUUCAUGGUCGAUAAAAUCUUUCUUUUGAUGUCUUGCUAGUUCAAUGUUUUGACAGAAGCGCGCGGUGUAAUUCCAUUGAUUUUUGGAUUUCGAUCGUAUCUAAGAUCCUUUUUUUAUCUGGGUUGCUAACUCAAUGGUAGAGUACUCGGCUUUUAAGUGCGACUAUGAUCUUUUACACAUUUGGAUGAAACAACAAAUUCGUCCAGACUCUUGGUAGAGUCUAGAAGACCACGACUGAUCCUCAAAGGUAAUGAAUGGAAAAAAUAGCAUGUCGUAAUAAAAUCAAUCUUUUUUGAAUGGAAUCCAAAAUUACGAUUUUCUGGGUCUAGUGAAUAAAUGGAUAGAGCCUGGCUCCAAUUCUGGUAAAAUAAAAAGCAACGAGCUUAACUUCCUAAUUGGAAGGAUUCCCCGCUCUAAUUAGACGUUAAAAAUAGAUUAGUGCCGGAUGUGGGGAAAGGUUGGGUUUUCCUAUGAGUGGACCCUUUAUUUUUUCUUUUUUUUUAGAAAUCCUAAUUAUUCUUGAUUAUGGAUUGAAUAAGGGAUGUUAUGGAUUGAAUGUGUAAAAGAAGCAGUAUAUUGAUAAAGAGGCUGUAUUCCAAAGUCAAAAGAGCGAUUGGCCUGCAAAAAUAAAAAACUUGUUCUGUUCUUUUUUGUAAUUUAGAACAAACAUAAACUAAUUCGGUAGAAAAGGAGCGGAAAAAGAUCCGUGGAUUAGACUCCCUUUCUUUCCAGGGUUUGUAUUAAAAAUGCAACACCCUGUUCUGACCAUAUUGCACUAUGUAUCAUCAUUCGAUAAACCGAGAAAUGCUUCUUCUCUCUGAUUCAAGUAGAAAUACAAAUGGAAAAAUUCGAAGGGUAUUCAGAAAAACAGAAAUCUCGUCAACAAUACUUUGUCUACCCACUUCUCUUUCAGGAGUAUAUUUAUGCAUUUGCUCAUGAUUAUGGAUUAAACGGUUCUGAACCUGUGGAAAUAGUUAGUUGGAAUAACAAGAAAUUUAGUUCACUACUUGUGAAACGUUUAAUUAUUCGAAUGUAUCAGCAGAAUUUUUUGGAUAACUCGGUUAAUCAUCCUAAUCAAGAUCGAUUAUUGGAUUACAAAAUUUUUUUUAUUCUGAGUUUUAUUCUCAGAUUCUAUCUGAGGGGUUUGCGAUUGUUGUGGAAAUCCCAUUCUCGCUACGGGAAUUAUCUUGUCCGAAAGAAAAAGAAAUACCAAAGUUUCAGAAUUUACGCUCUAUUCAUUCAAUAUUUCCCUUUUUAGAAGACAAAUUUUUGCAUUUGGAUUAUCUAUCACAUAUAGAAAUACCCUAUCCUAUCCAUUUGGAAAUCUUGGUUCAACUCCUUCAAUACCGUAUCCAAGAUGUUCCAUCUUUGCAUUUAUUGCGAUUCUUUCUCAACUACUAUUCGAAUUGGAAUAGUUUUAUUACUUCAAUGAAAUCCAUUCUUUUUUUUCAAAAAGAAAAUAAAAGACUAGUUAAAUUCCUAUAUAACUCUUAUGUAUCAGAAUAUGAAUUUUUCUUGUUGUUUCUUCGUAAACAAUCUUCUUGCUUACCAUUAGCAUAUUCUGGAACUUUUCUGGAACGAAUCCACUUUUCUAGGAAGAUGGAACAUUUUGGGAUAAUGUACCCUGGUUUUUCUCGGAAAACCUUAUGGUUCUUUAUGGAUCCUCUUAUACAUUAUGUUCGAUAUCAAGGAAAGGCAAUUCUUGCAUCAAAAGGCAGUUUUUUUUUGAAAAAGAAAUGGAAAUGCUACCUUAUCAAUUUCUGGCAAUAUUAUUUCUUUUUUUGGACUCAGCCGCGAAGAAUCCAUAUAAACCAAUUAGCAAACUCUUGCUUCGAUUUUAUGGGAUACCUUUCAAGUGUACCAAAAAGUCCUUUGUUGGUAAGGAAUCAAAUGCUGGAGAAUUCAUUUCUCAUAGAUACUCGAAUGAAAAAAUUCGAUACCAUAGUCCCCGCUACUCUCCUCAUAGGAUACUUAUCAAAAGCUCAAUUUUGUACUGGAUCGGGGCAUCCUAUUAGUAAACCCAUUUGGACGGAUUUAUCAGAUUGGGAUAUUCUUGAUCGAUUUGGUCGGAUAUGUAGAAAUCUUUUUCAUUAUCAUAGUGGAUCUUCGAAAAAACGGACUUUGUAUCGACUAAAGUAUAUACUUCGACUUUCAUGCGCUAGAACUUUAGCUCGUAAACAUAAAAGCACGGUACGAACUUUUAUGCAACGAUUGGGUUCGGCAUUUUUAGAAGAAUUUUUUACGGAAGAAGAGCAAGUUUUUUCUUUGAUGUUCACCAAAACAACUCUUUUUUCUUUCAGUGGAUCACACACUGAGCGUAUUUGGUAUUUGGAUAUUAUAGGUAUCAAUGACCUGGUCAACCCUCUUAAUUAAUCAUUAGACAAAACUAAUAAACAGGAAAGGGUUGAUAAAUGAUCAAGAAAAAACUUUCAUAUUUUUCAUUCUGAAAUGUUCCUUUUAUUAUAAUAAAGAGUAGGUGAAUCAACUUACUAAUUAAAAAAUUAGUAGAACUUCCUCUUUGGAAUAGAAUAUUGGCUAUUUCUACAUAGGGAAAGUCGUGUGCAAUGAAAAAUGCAAGCACGAUUUGGGGAGGGAUUUUUCUCUAUUGUAACAAGGAAGAAUUAUCUACUCCAUCCGACUAGUUCCGGGUUCGAGUCCCGGGCAACCCAUAUAGAAAAGACCCAUCAAAGUUUUUAACUUUUACUCACUUCAUUUACAAAUACAAAAUUAUUGGUUUGGUUAAUUUAUUUAUAUGGAUAGCCAAUCUUUGGGCUGACUUGGUUGACAUUGGUAUAUAGUCUAUGUUAUACUGUUAAAUAACAAGCCUUCUAUUAUCUAUAUUCUAGUUAAUACGUGUGCUUGGGAGUCCUUGCAAUUUGAAUAAACCAAGAUCUUACCAUGACUGCAAUUUUAGAGAGACGCGAAAGUACAAGCCUGUGGGGUCGCUUCUGCAACUGGAUAACUAGCACUGAAAAUCGUCUUUACAUCGGAUGGUUCGGUGUUUUGAUGAUCCCUACCUUAUUGACCGCAACUUCUGUAUUUAUUAUCGCCUUCAUCGCUGCCCCUCCAGUAGAUAUUGAUGGUAUUCGCGAGCCUGUUUCUGGUUCUUUACUUUAUGGAAACAAUAUUAUCUCUGGUGCUAUUAUUCCUACUUCUGCGGCGAUCGGAUUGCACUUUUACCCAAUUUGGGAAGCUGCAUCUGUUGAUGAGUGGUUAUACAAUGGUGGUCCUUAUGAGCUAAUUGUUCUACACUUCUUACUUGGUGUAGCUUGUUAUAUGGGUCGUGAGUGGGAACUUAGUUUCCGUCUGGGUAUGCGUCCUUGGAUUGCUGUUGCAUAUUCAGCUCCUGUUGCAGCUGCUACUGCUGUUUUCUUGAUUUACCCUAUUGGUCAAGGAAGCUUUUCUGAUGGUAUGCCUUUAGGAAUCUCUGGUACUUUCAACUUUAUGAUUGUAUUCCAGGCAGAGCACAACAUCCUUAUGCAUCCAUUCCACAUGUUAGGUGUAGCUGGUGUAUUCGGCGGUUCCCUAUUCAGUGCUAUGCAUGGUUCCUUGGUAACCUCUAGUUUGAUCAGGGAAACUACUGAAAAUGAAUCUGCUAAUGAGGGUUACAAAUUUGGUCAAGAGGAAGAGACUUAUAAUAUUGUGGCUGCUCAUGGUUAUUUUGGCCGAUUAAUCUUCCAAUAUGCUAGUUUCAACAACUCUCGUUCUUUACACUUCUUCUUGGCUGCUUGGCCUGUAGUAGGAAUCUGGUUCACUGCUUUAGGUAUUAGUACUAUGGCUUUCAACCUAAAUGGUUUCAAUUUCAACCAAUCUGUAGUUGAUAGUCAAGGUCGCGUUAUUAAUACUUGGGCUGAUAUCAUCAACCGUGCUAACCUUGGUAUGGAAGUAAUGCACGAACGUAAUGCUCACAACUUCCCUCUAGACUUAGCUGCUGUUGAAGUUCCAGCUAUUAAUGGAUAAGGUUUUUCUGCUAACAUAUAAGAAUUUUUGAAGAAAGAAAAGACAAAAAUACCCAAUAUCUUGUUCUAGCAAGAUAUUGGGUAUUUUGAAUCUUUUUUUUCUUCUUAAUCUUUCUAUUCAGAAUUCAGUUAACGACGAGAUUUAGUAUCCUUUCUUGCAUUUUCAUAACUCGUAAAAUGCCGAGUAGGCACGAAUUCUCCCAAUUUGCGACCUACCAUAGGAUUUGUUAUGUAAAUAGGUAUAUGUUCCUUUCCAUUAUGAAUCGCAAUUGUAUGGCCAACCAUUGUGGGUAGAAUGCUAGAUGCCCGGGACCACGUUACUAUUGUUUCUUUCUCCUCCUUCAUAUUGACCUUUUCUAUCUUUGCCAAUAAAUGAUGAGCUACAAAAGGAUUCGUUUUUUUUCGUGUCACAGCUGAUUACUCCUUUUUUCCUUUUUAAAGAGUGGCAUUCUAUGUCCAAUAUCUCGAUCGAAGUACGGAGGUCAGAAUAAAUAGAAUAAUGAUCAACGGAAAAAGAAAAAAUCCUUUAGCUGGAUAAGGGGCGGAUGUAGCCAAGUGGAUCAAGGCAGUGGAUUGUGAAUCCACCAUGCGCGGGUUCAAUUCCCGUCGUUCGCCCAUCGCAUUAUUGCAAAUUCCAAAAAUGCAAUUUUCCAUAUUCCUAGUUACGUAUUUACUUACGGCGACGAAGAAUAAAACUAUCGCUAUAUUUUUUCCUUUUUCCUAGUUCUUCUUCCAAGCGCAGGAUAACCCCAAGGGGUUGUGGGUUUUUUUCUACCAAUGGGAGCUUUCCCUUCACCGCCCCCAUGGGGGUGGUCCACAGGGUUCAUAACUACCCCUCUUACUACGGGGCGUUUACCUAGCCAACACUUAGAUCCGGCUCUACCCAAACUUUUUUGGUUCACCCCAACAUUACCCACUUGUCCGACUGUUGCUAAGCAAUUUUGGGAUACUAAACGGACCUCCCCAGAUGGUAAUCUUAAAGUGGCCGAUUUACCCUCUUUUGCAAUGAGUUUCGCUACAGCACCUGCUGCUCUAGCUAAUUGCCCACCCCUUCCACGUGUGAUUUCUAUGUUAUGCAUGGCCGUGCCUAAGGGCAUAUCGGUUGAAGUAGAUUCUUCUUUUCUCUCAAAAAACCCCUUCCAAACUGUACAAGCUUCUUCCAAAGCAUACGGCUUUCUAKWUGUUUAUAAUUCCUUCUAAUGACUUAUGCGUUCUGUUAUCAUUUCCAACUGGAGGAUCCCUUAAUUCAAUUAAAGGAGGAUUAUAAAUGGAUAGAUGUCUUCGAUUUCCAUUGGAGAUUGGGAAUCGAUGGACUUUCAUUAGGAUCCAUUUUAUUGACAGGAUUUAUCACUACUUUAGCUACUUUAGCAGCUUGGCCAAUUACACGGAAUUCGCGAUUAUUCUAUUUCCUGAUGCUCGCAAUGUAUAGUGGUCAAAUAGGAUUAUUUUCUUCGCGAGACCUUUUACUUUUUUUUAUCAUGUGGGAGUUAGAAUUAAUUCCUGUUUACUUACUUUUAUCCAUGUGGGGGGGAAAGAGGCGUCUAUAUUCAGCUACAAAGUUUAUUUUGUAUACUGCAGGCGGUUCUAUUUUUUUCUUAAUCGGAGUUCUGGGUAUGGGCUUAUACGGUUCCAACGAACCAGGAUUAGAUUUGGAAAGAUUAAUUAAUCAAUCAUACCCCGCAACCUUGGAAAUACUUUUAUAUUUUGGCUUCCUUAUUGCUUAUGCUGUCAAAUUGCCGAUUAUACCCCUACAUACGUGGUUACCAGAUACCCAUGGGGAAGCACAUUAUAGUACAUGUAUGCUUUUAGCGGGAAUAUUAUUAAAGAUGGGAGCAUAUGGAUUGAUUCGGAUCAACAUGGAAUUGUUACCUCAUGCUCAUUAUCUAUUUUCGCCCUGGUUAGUAAUAAUAGGAGCUAUCCAAAUAAUCUAUGCAGCUUCAACUUCUCUUGGUCAACGAAAUUUCAAAAAAGAAUAGCUUAUUCCUCUGUAUCUCACAUGGGUUUCAUAAUUAUAGGAAUUGGUUCCAUAACCAACAUUGGACUCAAUGGAGCUAUUUUACAAAUAUUAUCCCAUGGAUUUAUUGGUGCUACACUUUUUUUCUUGGCAGGAACCGCUUCUGAUAGAAUGCGUCUUGUUUAUCUCGAAGAACUGGGAGGAAUAUCUAUCCCAAUGCCUAAAAUUUUUACCAUGUUUAGUAGCUUUUCAAUGGCUUCUCUUGCCUUACCAGGAAUGAGUGGUUUUGUCGCAGAAUUAGUAGUAUUUUUUGGACUAAUUACUAGUCCAAAAUUUUUGUUAAUGCCAAAAGCACUAAUUACUUUUGUAAUGGCAAUUGGAAUGAUAUUAACUCCUAUUUAUUUAUUAUCUAUGUUACGCCAGAUGUUCUAUGGAUACAAGCUAUUUAAUGUUCCAAACGCAAAUUUUGUGGAUUCUGGACCACGAGAACUCUUUAUUUUAAUCUGUAUCUUUUUACCAGUAAUAGGAAUUGGUAUUUAUCCAGAUUUUGUUCUCUCCCUAUCCGUUGACAGGGUAGAGGCUCUCUUAUCCAAUUAUUAUCCUAAAUAGGUUUGGUUUUUUUUACUAGUCUGCUCUAUUAAUGCAGAAAUAAGUAAAAAAGUAUAAUUAGAUCUAUCUCGAAUUUUUGAGAACCCUUUGAGAAGGCGCUCAAGGGGUUCUCAAAUAAAAUAUAAAAGUAAAAACGUUCAUUUCAUGAACGUUUUUUUUUAUGUAAUCAUUUAGGUGUUAAUGUAAACGAACCAUAACUAUGUAAACCUAUUCCUAAUAGAUUGAUACCAAAAUAACAAAUCCAAAUUAUAAGAAAUCCUAUCGAAGCUAUAAGUGCAGAAUUCGUACCCUUCCAAUUUGGAUUUGUUCUACUAUGUAAAUAAAUUGCGAAUAUGGUCCAAGUAAUAAAUGCCCAAGUUUCCUUAGGAUCCCAAUUCCAAUAGGAUCCCCAGGCCUCAUUAGCCCAUACUGCUCCACAAAGAAUACCUAUGGUUAAAAGGGUAAAUCCUAGGCUAAUGAUACGAUAACUCCAAGAAUCCAAACGCUCCGUUAAUUGAUAUUUGUAAUAAUUUGGAAAUGAAGGGACAGGGGCGCUUUUUAAAGCACUUCUUUUUGCAUAAAAAAAUGCAAUCUCACUAAAGAAAAAUGUUUUAUUUAAAACAUUUUUUUUCUUUUUAGAAAAGAAAUGGAAAUUAUUUCGAAAUCUAAUGAUUAGAAUAGCGGCAGAUAAUAAGGAUCCGCACAAAAGAGUUGCAUAACUUAAUAACAUCAUACUGACAUGCAUCAUUAACCACUGAGAUUGUAGAGCAGGUACUAGUAUCGUGGAUUGAUGCAUUUCAGUUAAAAGACCCGACGUGGCAAAGCCUUGCGUUAAAAUAGUACUUGGCGUAGUUAUUGUGCUUAAAUCAUUUUUAGAGUUCUGUAUUUUAGGAAUGGUAUGAAGAAUAUACAGAGCCCAUGAAAGGAAGAUCAAUGACUCAUAUAAAUUACUUAAUGGAAAAUGUCCCGAAGAAACCCAACGAGAAACUAAGAAUCCUGUUAUAGAGAAAAAAGUAACUAUCAUUCCUUUUUCUGACGAAUCACGUAAUCUCCCAAGUUCACGAACUAAUAAGGUUAUCAAAUGAAUCGUAAUCACAAUUGAAAUCGUUGAGAAAGAGAUAUGAGUUAGUAUAUGUUCUAAAGUUGCAAAUAGCAUAAGGGGAAGGUCCCAUUACAAAAUUGUAAAUUUCGAAUUGAUUUCUAAUCUAUUGUAUUCCUUUUCAAGAAUGCCGCCACUCGGAUUCGAACCGAGAUGCUUGAGCACUGCUUCCUAAGAGCAGCGUGUCUACCAAUUUCACCAUGGCGGCUAACUUCAAAUAAUAGGUAACUUAAAAGAAUAAUAGCUAUUAUCUCGGGAAUCGUCGAUAUUGGGAAAGUCCAUAAAAUUUAGGAACAUUAGAGUUUUCAUUAAAAUGGACUUCGUUUGGUAGUAUCGUUUCCAUUUUUUUUUACAAUAAACUCUUGCUUUGCCCAAUAGAAACACUGGUUGAAAGAGUUGGAACUUCUUUUUUCUAACUUGCAAUUAUAGAUAUAGAACUAAUUUUUUCUAAUUAAUUUAUCGUUUAAAUUUUGAAAAUUCUUUCAAUACAAUGAAAAAAAUCCAAAAGGGUUUCUAUUUAAUGAUGAAAUUAAAAUGGAUAAAUAGAAAAGGCUUUUUGGAUUUUUGAAAAAUUUCUAGAAUGAAAGUCUUUAUGCUCUUAUUAAUAAGAUUUACUAACCUUAUGAUUUUGGAUAAGAUAGGUGGAAGUUGUAAGUCCUAUUGUAAGAAUACUCCACUUUUCAUAAUUUUCAUAAUAAAAUAUGAGCAUUCUAUUAUGAAAAUUAUGAAAAGUUCAUUGAUAGGAAAAGAAUACUUAGCACACAGUAUACCAAACAAAACUUUUUUUUAUUGUAUAUAUAAGAGGGGUUUGUUAUAAGAAUAUUGUACCGAAGUAAUUCGACACAUAAAAGUACAUUCAAAGAAGAAUCCAAAUUAUUAAAUAAUUGGAAUUCUUUUUUGAAAAAUCAAUUCAUAUUAUUCCAAAAUCUUAUUAUUUGUUUGUUUGUUGCCCAGAAAAACCCUUUGGUUUUGGAUGCUCAUUACCACUGGAAAAUGAUCUUGAUUUUACUAAAGAAUAAGAUUGUACUAUGGAAAAAUAAGUCUUUUUCUUCCAAAUAUUUUUACGAAUACGCUUUUUUGACAUUGAAGUACGUUUUUUUUGGAACUGCCAUUCAAAAAGGAAAUUACUUUUUUCUAGUUGUAUGUGAAAGACAUCUAUUGCUGCAAAUCAAUCCUUCUUUCUUGUUUUUAUUAGUAUUUAUACUUAGAUACUGAAAGAUACUGAAAUUGUGAAUUAUUUUUUACUUCAUUUUGUCUAAUGCGGAUAAGACAAGAAUUUUUAAACAUUUUUUCUGUAUAUAUUUUAUACUUUGUUUUAAUAAUAUAGAAUAUAUAGAAGGGUUUCCCAUUUAUAUCUAUUUAUAUAUCAAGUAUACUCCAUAUAUAGAUAUAUGGUAUGGAAGCCUAUCCCCCGGGGGGAUAAAAAGAAGGGAAAAUUCAAAUAGUUAAUUAAGCUCAGAAUGAUAUUGUAUUGUAUUCCAUAAAGGAAAGGAAUUCUAAUCAAAAACAAAAAAUACUGAGUCUCUUAAACAAGACAUUCUAAAACUUAGGUAAUUUAUAGUCAUAAGGACUAUUCGAUAAUUUCUUAUAAACAUAGAUUUUCAUUGGAAUUCACUCAAUCAGUUAUGGAACAAGAGAGCUGUUUCAUCUUUGUUUUAAAGAAAUAUAAAAAUGAAUAGAAAGUAAAAAGUAAAACGAUUCCUUUUUUUUUUUGUAAAUAUCUUUAUUUAGAUAAUAACUAGGUAACGAAGUUAUUUGAUUAACUUUUUGAAUUUAACCAACUAAACCCAUUCUUCAUUUUUUAUUAUUUCAAUGAGAUAAAUUUUUAAAAAAUGAAGAAUUCCAGUAUUUUUUCUUAUUCUUUUUAUUUAUUCUUUCAGAAAGAGAUAAGAGUUGGUUUGGUGAAUCGGAAACAAUUUUAUAGAAAAAUUGAAGUAAAAAUCGCAAUUUCUUUUCUUAUGGAACAUACAUAUCAAUAUGCAUGGGUAAUCCCUCUUCUCCCACUUCCAGUUAUUAUGUCAAUGGGAUUUGGCCUUAUUCUUAUUCCGACAGCAACAAAAAAUCUUCGUCGCAUAUGGGCUUUUCCUAGUGUUUUACUCUUAAGUAUAGCUAUGGUAUUCUCAGUUCAACUGUCUAUUCAACAAAUAAAUGGAAGUUCUAUCUAUCAAUAUCUAUGGUCUUGGACCGUCAAUAAUGAUUUUUCUUUAGAAUUUGGAUACUUGAUUGACCCACUUACUUCUAUUAUGUUAAUACUAAUUACUACUGUAGGAAUCCUGGUUCUUAUUUAUAGUGAUGGUUAUAUGUCUCACGAUGAAGGAUAUUUGAGAUUUUUUGUUUAUAUAAGUUUUUUCAAUACUUCUAUGUUGGGAUUGGUUACUAGCUCCAAUUUGAUACAAAUUUAUUUUUUUUGGGAACUCGUGGGAAUGUGUUCUUAUUUAUUGAUAGGCUUUUGGUUUACACGACCAAUCGCAGCGAGUGCUUGUCAAAAAGCUUUUGUAACUAAUCGUGUAGGGGAUUUUGGUCUAUUAUUAGGAAUUUUAGGUUUUUUUUGGAUAACAGGUAGUUUAGAGUUUAGGGAUUUGUUCCAAAUCGCUAAUAACUGGAUUCCUAAUAAUGGAAUUAACUCUUUACUUACUACUUUGUGUGCUUUUUUAUUAUUCCUUGGUGCAGUUGCGAAAUCCGCACAAUUCCCUCUUCACGUAUGGUUACCCGAUGCUAUGGAAGGACCCACUCCUAUUUCGGCUCUUAUACACGCAGCAACUAUGGUUGCUGCGGGAAUUUUUCUUCUAGCUCGACUUCUUCCUCUUUUCAUAUCUUUACCUUUGAUAAUGAGUUUUAUUUCUUUAGUAGGUACAAUAACACUAUUCUUAGGAGCUACUUUAGCUCUUGCUCAGAGAGAUAUUAAAAGAAGCUUAGCCUAUUCUACAAUGUCUCAAUUGGGUUAUAUGAUGUUAGCUCUAGGUAUAGGUUCUUAUCAAGCUGCUUUAUUCCAUUUGAUCACUCAUGCUUAUUCAAAAGCUUUAUUGUUCUUGGGAUCUGGAUCCGUUAUUCAUUCAAUGGAACCUCUUGUUGGGUAUUCACCAGAUAAAAGUCAAAAUAUGGUUCUUAUGGGCGGUUUAAGAAAAUACAUUCCAAUCACAAGAACUACUUUUUUAUGGGGUACACUUUCUCUUUGUGGUAUUCCACCUCUUGCUUGCUUCUGGUCCAAAGAUGAAAUCCUUAGUAAUAGUUGGUUGUAUUCGCCCUUUUUUGGAAUAAUAGCUUCCUUUACUGCAGGAUUAACUGCCUUUUAUAUGUUUCGGAUAUAUUUACUUACAUUUGGUGGGUAUUUGCGUGUUCAUUUUCAAAAUUACAGUAGCACUAAAGAGAGUUCCUUGUAUUCAAUAUCCUUAUGGGGAAAAAGGAUACCCAAAGGAGUGAAUAGGGAUUUCGUUUUAUCAACAACGAAGAGUGGAGUUUCUUUUUUUUCACAAAAUAUACCCAAAAUUCAAGGUAAUACAAGAAAUAGGAUAGGAUCCUUUACUACGUCUUUUGGGGCUAAAAACACUUUUGCCUAUCCGCAUGAAACGGGAAAUACUAUGUUAUUUCCUCUUCUUAUAUUACUACUUUUCACUUUGUUCAUUGGAUUCAUAGGAAUCUCUUUUGAUAAUGGAGGAAUGGAUAAUGGAAUAGCAGAGUUAACCAUAUUAUCAAAGUGGUUAACUCCCUCAAAAAACUUUACCCAGGAAAGUUCUAAUUCUUUUGUAAAUUCAUAUGAAUUUAUUACUAAUGCAAUUUCUUCUGUAACUCUAGCUAUCUUUGGUUUAUUCAUAGCAUAUAUCUUCUAUGGAUCUGCUUAUUCUUUUUUUCAGAAUUUGGAUUUAAUAAACUCUUUUGUAAAAAGAAAUCCUAAAAAAGAAUUUUUGGAUCAAGUAAAAAAAAAUAUAUACAGUUGGUCAUAUAAUCGUGGUUAUAUAGAUAUUUUCUAUACUAGGGUCUUUACCCUCGGUAUAAGAGGGUUAACCGAACUAACGGAGUUUUUUGAUAAGGGUGUUAUUGAUGGAAUUACCAAUGGAGUGGGUCUUGCUAGUUUUUGUAUAGGAGAAGAAAUUAAAUAUGUAGGGGGAGGUCGAAUCUCGUCUUAUUUAUUCUUUUUUUUAUGUUAUGUAUCUGUGUUUUUAUUCUUUUUUCUUUCUUAAGUUAAGGAAUUCAAGUCUCUUGCAAAAAUAACUAUCCUACCCCUUUCUACAAUCUCUCUAUAAUCCCACCUUGUUACAUAAGGUAAGUAUUGUAUAAUCGUUCGGUUUUCCGCGAUUUUUUCCAUUCCUCUGUGUAAAUACCCUAAUAUGGGUUCACAAUCAAUAACAUCCUCACCAUCAAGAGUAACGAUCAGUCGAAGAACACCAUGCAUUGAUGGGUGUUGAGGGCCCAUAUUGACUAUCAUGAGAUCUUUUUUUGUAAGCGGUAGACUCAUAUCCUUUCUUCCUUAAUUCAUUAUUCCAUGAAAAUGGAUUAUUCCAUGAAUUCCUCAAAGUGAGGCUCAUCAAAAUGAAAAAUCUAAGACUACUAUAAAGACUACUAAAAAAAUAAUAAAACAAGAAAAAAAUUUGAAGGAUUAAAUUACUGCUCCCGAAUAUUCAACUGACCGAUUAAUUUCUUAUAACGUACUCUAUUUUUCUUUGCCAAAUAAGCCAGCAAACGUCGACGUUUUCCCAAAAGUCUUCGUAGACCUCUUUCCGAUGAAAAAUCUUUUUUGUGUAAUUCCAAAUGUGAAGCAAGUCUCCGUAUCUUAUUGGUGAAACUGAAUACUUGAAAUUCAACAGAACCCCUGUUUUCUUCUUUUUCUUCUUUAACCAUAAAUCCUAAAAUUUUUCUACCUCCUUUCUUUUUCAUGUAUUUUUCUGAUCAGGAAAAAUAAAAAAUUAUGUCAGUUAUUUUGAAGUUAUUCUAAUCUCGUACACACACAAAUUUGCAAUUAUUCAUCUACUACUGGAAUUUGGAUUUUUUUUAUCGAUGCAAAUUGGAUUUGGAUAGAAGGGUACAUUCUUUCUACUAUUUUAGAUAGAAGAAAUGUUUCUUCUAUCUAAAUAUAGUAGAAAGAAUUUUGCUGAUUUAUUUAUUGCUAUAUGCAAUUUAUGGAAUUGAUACACCAUUUAAUUGAUAUCAUUUAGCAAAAUGAAACACAGCAUAGGCAUCCAUCUUUUGGCUCGAGAAUUUCACGGGAUAGAGAUAUGGUAUAAGAAAUAGACUAUUAAGUAACUCUAAAUGAAUUGUGGAUACAUCUGUAUCCUUAACAUACUGAAACGAUUGCCAUUAUUCGUAUCAAACCAAUAGCGAUUCAUACAAGCUAAAUCUUCUAAUCAAUGGUGGGCCAAUAAUGAAUUUUUUUGCAUAUGUAUUAAGACGCUUGGCCUGAUUUCGAAAUUGUCCAGAGUUUUAUAUGUUGUUUUCAUUGCAAAAUGAUGGGUCUCCUUCCAUAACUUUCCAAUUACGAGUACGAGAAUUGAAAGACAUAAAUAUUCUAAAUUCUCUACGGCGUCUAGUAGAUAGAUAGAAUAUUUUCAGGAACAAGAAAAUCAGAAGAAUCUUUCUCUCUAUUCACUAUCAUUCCGCGUCUUCGACUUCUAUUAGUUUCUUUUCUUCUUUAAUGCAAUAGCUAUAGUUUGAUAUAAGAAUCCAUUUCUCAAAGUAAUGGAAACCAUUCUCUUAUAGGAAAUGGUUCGAAAAUCGCUAUUCCACCUUUUAGGUAUCGUGAAAAGUGAUACCUGUGAAGAUCGUGCAUUUCAGUCAAAUU